rnacentral:lncRNA from 1 species
UUUGUCCCUCGCCGCCGCCACUCUCUCCAAAAUCCCACCUCGGGAUCCUCCCAGAUCCCCUUCUCCUCGGUUUCCUCCUCUACCCAAUCCCGAAGGCACUGCGGUCUCCUCUGCUUCCCUCGUCCUUGUUUGAUCCCAGGGGCAGCCACCGCAUCGCUGUUCCCCUGCCUCGGCCUCGCGAUCCCGCGCCUCCCUCCUACAGCCCAUGCAAGUCACCAGGAGGUGGGUUCCCGUGCUGCACAGGAGCUCCUCGUCGCCCGGAUCCGUUCCCCAGGCCGCCGGACCUUCCUGCAAGCGUCCUCGCCGGUGACCAGCAGGUCCCAACGCCACCCUUUUUUUCUUUUCCUGUCUCCUCUGUUACCUGCUCUCGAUCCCCCUCUGUCUCAUGUCCCUGUCUCUCUUCCCGCCAUGGACAGGUACCAACAAACCGUCAGCCACCAGGAGCUCAAGACGCCGCUACUCCUCGCCGGACCGCUGCCUCCGGCUACCUCCACCUCGCCGGUGAGGCCUCGCCGCCGUGCGCCCCUGAUUUUCUCUCUCUCUCUCUCUCUCUCUUUGGCCGCUCUGACCUCUCAUGAUCUCCCCCUUUUCUCUUUGAACAGAAGUAGGAGCUCCCAUGGCCGCCGCCGCCCUGGCUGCCCCAUAGGAGUUCUCUGCCGCCGGAUCGGGUCGCCUCCACCCGGUUCCUCUCGCGCCGACCGCCCGCGCCGGAGUCCUGCGCCAAGCCGCCGCCGUUGCCUCUGUUUCCCGCCGCUGCACCAUGCUGCAACGAACGCCUGCUCGAUCCAACCGCCCCGCGUUGACCGAUCCACUGGCCUGCGCUAGCCCAGCGAGACCUCCUGCAGCCCAGCACCACCAACCGGGCCUUGGCCCAUGGGUGAGCUGCCCCACCUUCUUGUUGGGCUCGUGAUUCAGAUUCGGCCUGACUAAUGUUUUUUUUCGUGCUGCGAUUUUAACAUUAUCCAGUGUAUUUCAGUUUUGCAGAAAACCCCUCAUAUAUCAUACAUUUAAUAACUCAUAAACCAUGCAUCGGUUUAAAAUGAUAUUAACAUGUAAAAUGCUUAGAAUUUUGUGUAGAUUAAUAAUAUUCCACUUUCAUCCAUGUUUAAAAUGUUUAAAAUGUUGUUUGUUUAAAUUUGCUCAAAUGCCAUGCUAAAAUGCUUUAUUUCAUAACUAAAUAACCGUAACUCUGUUUUAAAUAAACUUUAUAUGCAAAUGGGGUGGAAAAAUGCCUAGUUUAACAUGGUCUAGUUUAUUUUCCUGUUUAACAACCUUAAAAUAUGGUUUAGGGCAGAACAGUACCUAAUCGAAAAUAUGCAUAUGGGGAUUUUCUGAAAUUGUUGUUUGUUGUUCCGGCCCCAUUUAAACUUGCCUAGAUAGUUAGUUUACUUAUGUUUCAUCUCUUGCCAUGUUUAACAACAUUUAAUAUUGUUGUGUACCUAAACAAGAGUGAACUAAAUAACUCGAUGUGGUGUUUUGUCAAUAUGCAACUCAUUGCAUAUUGAGCUCCACUUAAUUUGUAGUAUUGUUUGUUGCAUAAGGCCAUGCCAUGCCUCAUUAAACCGGACAUGCAUCAUACUUGAUUGUGCAUCAUGCCAUGAUUAUGCUUGUGUGUUUACCAUGUUGCUUGCUUCUUUCCGGUUUGCUUCUCUUGUUAGCUUCGGUUUCGUUCCGGAGUUGUGAGGAUUCGUUCGACUACGUCCGUUUGUCUUCUUCGUGGACUCGUUCUUCUUCCUUGCAGGAUCUCAGGCAAGAUGACCAUUACCCUCGAUAUCACUUCUAUCUUUGCUUGCUAGUUGCUUCAUUCUAUCGCUAUGAUGCGCUACCUAUCACUUGUUUACCAUGCCUCCCAUAUUGUCAUGUCAGCCUCUAACCUUUUCACCCUUCCUAGCAAACCAUUGUUUGGCUAUGUUACCGCUUUGCUCAGCCCCUCUUAUAGCGUUGUUAGUUGUAGGUGAAGUUGAAGAUUGCUCCAUGAUGGACAGGAUUAUGUUGGGAUAGCACAAUAUCUCUCAUUUAAUUAAUGCAUCUAUAUACUUGGUAAAGGGUGGAAGACUCGGCCUUAUGCCUGGUGUUUUGUUCCACUCUUGCCGCCUUAGUUUCCGUCAUAUCGGUAUUAUGUUCCCGGAUUUUGCGUUCCUUACACGGUUGGGUGAUUUAUGGGACCCCCUUGACAGUUUGCUUUGAAUAAAACUCCUCCAGCAAGGCCCAACAUUGGUUUUAACAUUUGCCACCUAAGCCUUUUUCCCUUGGGUUCUGCAGACUCAAGGGUCAUCUUUAUUUACCCCCCGGGCCAGUGCUCCUCCGAGUGUUGGUCCAAACUAGAGCACCGUGCGGGACCAUUCCUUGGCAACUUGGAUUACGUCAGUUCCUAUACGCUUCACUUAUCCGGUGUGCCUUGAGAACGAGAUAUGUGCAGCUCCUAUCAGGAUUUGUCGGCACAACUGGGCGGCUUUGCUGGUCUUGUUUUACCAUUGUCGAAAUGUCUUGUAAACCGGGAUUCCGAGUCUGAUCGGGUCUUCCUGGGAGAAGGUAUAUCCUUCGUUGAUCGCAAGAGCUUAUCAUGGGCUAAGUUGGGACACCCCUGCAGGGUAUAAACUUUCGAAAGUCGUGCCUGCGUUUAUAGGCAGAUGGGAAUUUGUUAAUGUCCGGUUGUUAGGACCCCGACUCGAUGCCACAUCGAUCUAGCAUGUAACACCUCAUAUCACUUUGCGGCCUCACGCACGGUUUUCCCACGGGUGUCCUCUUACCUUUGCCCGGGACCGUUUGCGCCUUUUGGCACACGUAUAUGAUAGUGUCGCUAGCAUCCAUAUGGUAAGGAGCCCGGGCUGACAUGGCUAGUCGUAAACCCAAAGUGGCACAGACUUACAGGGACAGGCAUCCAUGACCCAGCAUCGAACGUGUCGGUCAUCAGCAAGUGAAUCCAGGCUGUAGCACUGGGCUAGCAGGACUCCGGUAAAUCGGGCUGUAGCGGGCUAACAGGACUCCGGUAUCCAUCGUGUGACAUUUCCCCGAAGGGACAGAAACAGGAACAAAGAAGGACACAUGCCGGCCAGCCUAAGUGUUCCGGAGCAGUAGCAAGCUACCAAGGCUCAGUGGAGACACUAGGAGACAUUUCCCAGUAAGAGAGGCUACUAAGAAUAAACAACUAGAUAGUCAGAUCCCACACAUACCAAGCAUUUCAAUCAUACACACAAUAUGCUCGAUAUGUGCAAAUACAACAAGGCAUCACAACAUGACUCUACGACACCAGUACUUUAUUUAAGGCUCAGAGAGCCAUACAUAUCAUACACACAAGUACGGGUCACACGACCCAGCAUUCAAGUCAUACAGACAUACAAGCCAACAGCGGAAGUAACUUGUCUGGGUACAGACAACUAGUAAAAUAAAAGAGGCUUGGGAAAGCCUGGCUAUACUACGUGGUCCUUCACAAGCUCAGGAUCACCACCUGGGCCUCGGUAUACUCAUCGAUGUCAACUUCUACGAAGAACCCAUCAGAAGGGGUUGCAGCGUCUUCUGAAAAAUGUAAAUUAAAGCAACAUGAGUACAAAGGUACUCAGCAAGACUUACAUCAGAUCCUACAUACAUGCACAUUAUCAAGAAGGGUUGGUGGGGUUAUUGCAGCAAGCCAGCUUUGACUCUUGGCUAAGCUAUCCUACGAUACACCAACUUGAAAUGGUUUUGCGCACACGAGUACACUACUCACCACUUCAAUACACCACCGAGGAUCCACCUCCGUCAUCCUACGGAAGAACCAUCCUUGGCACUCACGCUUAUCUUGAGAUUUUUAGUAGUAUCCAUUUACUUGUCUAUGAACUGUAUAGGAAACCAAGUAGUCCUUUACCGCGGACGCGGCUAUUCGAAUAGAUAAUGUUAACCCUGCAGGGGUGUACUUCUUCAUACACGCUCUCACCACUUACCGCCGUUUACACGACAUGUACUCGGCAACCUUCAAGCGGAAGCCCAACGUGGGUGUCGGCCACGACCUACCUAAACACCUAAUUCUCUAGUCCAGGUUUAUCGCCUAUCCAGGUUCCAUCCGCAGGGAGUCCGGCCGAGGUUUCCACAUACGGCCCCGAACGAUGUGUACAGGGUUCCCGAGAUACCUAACGGGUAUCCGGUACACCGUGCCACAUACCUACCGCAUCACAGCCCACCGCUAUGGUCAGCGCUGUCCACGGCCUCCAGUAGGCUACAAACACCAGAAAUUACUUGCAACUCCUGGACAGAGGACUAGGGUGAAUAAGAAGCCGAGAGGGUCCAUUGGUUUCAGGCCCAAUGCAUGGUAGUAGAUGAUUCUUAAAUCACACAUACAGAUCUCAGUGCUUAAGGACGGCUUCAAUGAAACAACCCACCAUGUACUCCUACAUGGCCUUUCAUCGAUACCUUUACCAAAUCGUGUUCACCACAUCACUCUCAUUACCGGCAUGAUCAUUUCACUCUAGCCCAUCACCCAGAUGAACCAGACCUGACUCGACUCUAAGCAUAGCAGGCAUAGCAAGGUAGGAACAACACAUACAUAUGGCUCAAUCAACUCCUACACAUGCUAGUGGGUUUCAUCUAGUUACUGUGGCAAUGACAGGUCAUGCAGAGGAAAUGGGUUCAACUACCGUAGCACACAGCAGUUUGGAACGCGUUGUCUUAAUGCAGUAAAAGAGAGCAGAAGCGAGAACAUGGGAUUGUAUCGAUAUGAUCAAAUGGUUGGUUGCUUGCCUGAUGGGUCGAUGCACUGAUAUUGUUCUUCGUUGGGGUAAUCACGAUACUCCUCAAGGGCAGGACCUGCCGCAGAGAGCACCGAUACACAACAUCACCAAACAAUAUGCAGUAAUAUGAUGCAUGCAUGAAACAUGGCAAUAUGAGUGUGUUGGGCUAAUGCAACUAAAACCAGAUGGGUUUGAACCAUUUUGAAUCAAAGAUUCAAGUUUCAAACUCAUACAUGGCCCUUAUAAGGUGCUUUAACUUGUUCUGCAAUAAACAGUAGGUUAGCUUGUUUAAACAUGCAUGAAACUAGUACAGAUGGAUAGAUUGGAUUUUUCUGAUCAUUUUUCAUAUAUAACACUUUGCAUUUGGAGUUAUGGUUGAUUUACUAUGAAUUUUUGAAGUUUGGGGGAUUUUCUGGAAUUUAUAAAUCAUUCUAGAUUUAUUUUAAUUCCAGAAAAGGAUUACUGCGUCAGCAUGAUGUCAUGCUGACCUCAGCAGGUCAAUAGGCCGGUCCAGGUCAAACUGACCAGUGGGUCCCGCAUGUCAGCACAAUUAGUUUAGCUAAAAAUUAAUUAGAACUAAACCGGAUUAGUUAACAGGGCUGGGCCCCACCUGUCAUUGACUCAACAGAGUCAACCAGGGCCCACCCGUGGUCAAAGUCAAGUCGGCUGCACCGGCGUUUAGCCGCCGGCGAGCCCGACGCGGCGGCGGAAGUGCUUUGGGCCGUUCCGGCCACCAAAUGGGUCGCGGAAGGCAUCUAAGUGGAGCUGGGGACAAACCGCAGCUCUUGGUGGGGUCGGGGUGGCCAGAAUCGGCGCCGACGAUGACCUAGGUGGCCGCCGGAGUUCGGGUGGAGGCGAACUCGGGGCCAGGGUGUGUGGUGAGGUGUGGGGAGUGUAUGGUUAGACCCUACGCGACGUGGUGAGUGCGAUGGACACUGAGAGGUGACCGGAGGAUGGCCGGGAGCACGUCGGCGACGAUCUCCGCGGUGGUGCGUGCGGGUGAUCUUCGUGCAGUUGCUACACAGCUCGGGGGCGAGAGAGAAAGGGAAGGGGAGGUAGCUAGGCUCACAGGGCACUCGUGGAGGCAACUGGCGGGGUCGGGGAUGGACUGAUGCGGCGACGGCGUUGCAGGGGAUCUCCGGCGACGGCGGACUCGGGUAGAGUCGGUGCGGUGGACUCGGGCCACACGAGCACGCGGGGCUCGGCUAGCUCGACGAAGAGGAUGGCGGCGGAGCUCCUAGACACGGCGAGACGGAGCACGGACGGCGGGGAGCGCGGCUACGGCGAUGGGGCGGCGGCGGUGGCGUCGGCCAUGGCUGGGGAGCACGAGGGAGAGGAGCUGGGGAGGAGAGGAGAUGUCUGAGGGGUUCGGGGGAGAGGGGGGGAGCGAUCUCCAUCAUCAGCUGGACGAGGGGAGCGGCGAGGCGGCGACCAGGUGUGUGGCACCCAUGCGGUGCUCGCCGCCGAGCACCUGCCUGCCUGCCUGGCCGAGCCAAGCAGCUCGCUGGCGCGGCAGCUGGGCUGGGCCGGCAGGUGGGCCGGUUAGUAGGCGCUAGGUAAGGUUUUCUUCCUAUUUUCCUGUUUCUGCUUUAUUCUGUAAGUUUGUGGACUUAUUAAAAAUACCUAGACAACUCCUAAAUUCCCCAAACUGCUCCUGGUCCUUAGUUGGAAUAUUUACAGCAUGGAACAUUUUAGUUUGGAAAUAUUUGAGCAUUCAAAAUAAUUUUAUAUAAUUUAAAUGCCCAAACUCAAAUACUUAUGAGUUAAUUCAAAGACCUUAGGAUGACCUAGAAAACUAUGCAUCACUUUUGGCAGAGGUUCUGAACCAAGACAAAAAUGAUGGACAUUUUGGAAGGGCAUUUCAGGUUCAUUGAAAAUAUUUUUAGUAAACCCUAGUUGGAUUCAGAGGGGGCUGGGGGUUCUGUCAUCCCCAUUUCAAGUUUCUGAUGAAAGAAUAGACAUGAUGCAACACUCUAAUGCAUGAACUAGCUAGGGUGUGACAACUCACCCCCACUCAAAAGAAUCUCGUCCCGAGAUUUAGGUUCCUCCGGAAAGAAGGCGGGGUACUCAAGUCGAAGACGAUCCUCCCUUUCCCAAGUUGCUUCCUUCUCAGAAUGGUGCGACCAUUGAACCUUGAGAAACUUGAUAUUAUGACGUUGAGUGGUACGCUCGGCUUGAUCGAGGAUACGAACGGGGUACUCUCGAUACGUGAGGUUAUCUUGAAGAUCAAGCGUUUCGUGGUCCACUGCACGGAUAGGAUCCGAGAAGCAACGCCUGAGUUGAGAAACGUGGAAGACAUCAUGGACUCUGGAAAGAUGCGGAGGUAAUUCCAAUUGGUAGGCAACUUCUCCUCGUUUAGCGAGAAUGCGAAAGGGUCCAAUGUAGCGAGGAGCCAAUUUGCCUUUGAUACCGAAGCGAUGGGUUCCCUUCAGAGGAGUAACCCGAAGGUAAGCCUUCUCGUCAACCUCAAAGGUCAUAGCCUUAUGUUUUCGGUCGUAUUGACUCUUUUGACGAGAUUGGGCUGUUUUCAACUUUUCAUGAACAAUGCGAACUUGCUCUUCUGCUUCCUGGAUCAUGUCUGGGCCAAAGAAUUGUCUUUCCCCGGUUUCUGACCAGUUAAGAGGCGUUCGACACCUUCGUCCAUAGAGAACUUCAAAAGGGGCUUUACCCAAGCUAGAUUGAUAGCUGUUGUUAUAAGCAAAUUCGGCAAAUGGAAGGCAUUUCUCCCAAUCCAUUCCGAAUGAGAUAACCGAAGCUCGAAGCAUGUCUUCUAGAAUCUGGUUGACACGUUCUACUUGACCACUUGAUUGAGGGUGAAAAGCAGUGCUAAAAGAAAGGCGGGUUCCCAUAGCAUUUUGGAAACUUUCCCAAAAUAGAGAGGUGAAGAGACUUCCUCGAUCGGAGUUAAUUUCCAGUGGAACACCAUGGAGAGACAUUAUUCGGAAGAUGUACAAGUCUACUAAUUGACUAGCGGUUAUACUCUCGCGAACAGGUAAGAAAUGGGCUACUUUGGAAAGACGAUCGACAACGACGAAGAUAGCGUUAUUCCCUCUCUUGGUCCUGGGAAAACCGGUAAUGAAAUCCAUACCAAUUUUAUCCCAUUUCCAUUCGGGAAUAGCUAAGGGUUGAAGGGUGCCAGUAGGCCGCUGAUGCUCUGCUUUUACACGGCGACAGACGUCGCAGCUAGCAACAAACUGAGCAAUGUCUCUCUUCAUCCUAGUCCACCAGAACCUCUGGCGUAGGUCCUGAUACAUCUUAGUACUACCGGGAUGAAUGGUGAGAGGAGAUUCAUGAGCUUCCUUUAGGAUCAAUAGCCUCAGGUUUCGCACUUUGGGAACCACUAGACGGUUCCCGAAGUAUAUGACUCCUUGAUCAUCAAUGGAGAAACAAUUCGCAACUCCUUUCUUGAUGUUUCUUUUGAUGCGGGAAAUCCUCGGAUCUACCUUCUGUGCUUUGAUGAUCUGAUCCGUAAGGGUAGGUUUCGCCACCAAGGUGGAAAGGAAUCCUUGAGGAACAAUGUGAAGGUUAAGCUUCCGAAAUUCCUCAUGGAGAAGCGGUUGACUUUGUUGUAACAUCAGAUUGUUACAAUAAGAUUUACGACUUAGUGCAUCAGCCAUGACGUUGGCCUUUCCUGGGGUGUAAGUUAUUCCUAAGUCGAAAUCUAUGAUCAACUCAACCCAACGUCUUUGCCUGAGAUUCAAAUCCGGUUGGGUGAAGAUGUACUUCAGACUUUGGUGAUCGGUGAAGAUUUCGCAACAAUUACCGAGGAGGUAAUGUCGCCAGGUUUUAAGUGCAUAGACUAUAGCUACAAGCUCUAGAUCAUGAGUAGGAUAAUUCUCCUCAUGUGGGUGUAAUUGCCGUGAAGCAUAAGCAAUUACGUGACGAUCUUGCAUUCUAGUCCUUGUCGCGAGGCGUCGCAAUAGAUAACAAAGUCCUUAGAGAAAUCUGGUGGUACCAAUACGGGAGCAGAUGUCAGGCGUCUUUUCAGUUCCUGAAAGCUGUGCUCACAUUGUGGAGUCCACUCGAACUUUUUAUCUUUCUUGAGGAGUUCAGUUAGAGGUUUGGCAACUUUGGAGAAGUUCUCGACAAAGCGGCGACAAUAGCUCGCUAAGCCAAGGAAACUCCGAACUUGCUUGACCAAUUCAGGUGGAGUCCAAUUAAGGACGGCUCGAACUCGCUCGGGGUUAAUAGCAAUACCUUUACCAAAAAUUACAUGUCCUAGAUAGGUCACUUCUGGCAACCAAAAUUCACAUUUAGAGAACUUGGCAUAAAGGCGAUGCUCUCGAAGUUUCAUCAACACUAGCCUUAGAUGUUCGGCAUGUUCUUCCUCGUUCUUGGAGUAGAUGAGUAUAUCAUUGAGGUAGACCACGACGAAUUUAUCCAAAUACUCCAUGAAGAUUGAGUUCAUUAACCGAGAAAAGGUGGCUGGGGCGUUGGUUAGACCGAAGGACAUGACGGUGUACUCGUAUUGGCCAUAACGAGUAACAAAGGCCGUUUUAGGAAUGUCCCCGUUCCGGAUUUUGAUUUGAUGGUAGCCUAAUCUCAAAUCCAUUUUAGAGAAGACUGAGGAUCCAGCGAGCUGAUCAUACAGGUCGUUGAUCCUGGGGAGUGGAUACUUGUUCUUGAUUGUGACGAGGUUGACUGGUCGAUAAUCUACAACCAUCCGGUCCGUACCAUCCUUCUUCUUGACGAAGAGGACGGGGCAAGCCCAUGGAGACGAACUAGGUCGGAUGAAACCCUUUUUCAAGGACUCAUCGAGUUGUUUCUUAAGCUCGGCUAGUUCUAGUGGUGCCAUCUUAUAGGGUCUUCUAGCAAUCGGGACAGUUCCUGGAAUGAGAUCUAUCACGAACUCAACAUCUCUGUCAGGUGGAACACCUGGCAAUUCCUCUGGGAAGACAUCUGAGAAGUCACGGACUACCGGAAUGUCUUCAAGGUCUGGCAACGGACUGGCAUUAAGAGAAUAUAGCUGUCGCUUAGCUACUCGGGUCAAGACAUUGACUAUCUUUCCCGAAGGAUGUGUGAGUUGAACAGUCCUAGAGAAACAAUCAAUUUUAGCAUGAUGGGCUGACAUCCAGUCCAUGCCCAAAAUGAUAUUAAUAUCCGAAGAUUUGAGAGCUAUCAAAGAUGCGAGAAAAACAAGUCUGUCGACUUGAAUUUCAUUCCCAUGGCUUACUCUAGAAGUUUGCCAUUUGGAUCCCGGGGUUUGAAUUACCAUAGAGGUGGGCAUCUCACAGAAUGUGGUGUUAUGCAGACGAGCAUAGCUCUCGGAUAUAAAUGAAUGAGAUGCUCCUGUAUCGAAAAGAACAGAUGCCAGGUGGCAAUUAACAAGGAGCGUACCAAGAACGACGUUGGGAUCCUCUUGAGCUUCUUCGGCAGAGAUACAGUUGACAUGGCCACGUGCAGCGGUGGCCGGCUUGGCGUAGAACGCUUUCCCUGUCGACUUGCCACGGCCAACAGCUUUUCCAGAUUGGUUGGGGUUGGUCUGGGGACACUCGCGCAGAUAGUGGCCCGGUUCCCCACAUUUAAAGCAAGUCACAGAGCUGGUACGUGGAGGAGCAUUGUUGGUUGGACCACCAUAGGGCUUGGCUGGUGUAAACUAUUGGGCGGGGCGAGGCAAUUGAAAGGAUGGCCUCGGUGUGAACCUGGGUGGCAGGGCAGUGUUAGGCACCCACACGCGGCGCUUCUGAGGACCAGCACCGGAUGAAGAACCCAUGUCACGGCCAUGCUUGCGUGUUGCUUCAAAAUCGGUCUGACCAGACUCAGCACUGAUGGCUUUGUUAACAAGCUUCUGAAAAGAUGUGCACUCAUGCAGACGGAGAUCGCGGCGAAGCUCAGGGCUAAGUCCCUUACGGAACCUUGCUUGCUUCUUGGCAUCAGUAGAGACUUCCUCAGUUGCAUAUCGUGCAACGUUACCGAACUCCCUGUUGUAAGCAUCCAUAGAAAGUCGACCUUGAGUGAAACUGCAGAACUCCUCACGUUUACGGUCCAUGAGACCCUCCGGAAUGUGAUGAUCAUGGAAAGCCUCGCUGAAUUCAGCCCAAGUAGUGACAUGGCCCGCUGGGCGCAUAGCUCCAUAGUUCUCCCACCAUAGACUGGCGGGGCCUUCAAGAUGAUAUGCAGCAAAGGUGACCUUAUCAGCCUCAGCUACUAGCGCAGAACGCAGUUUGUGAGUAAUACUGCGAAGCCAGUCAUCGGCGUCAAGAGGCUCGACGGAGUGGUGGAAAGUGGGUGGAUGUAACUUGAUGAAAUCACUGAGUGACACCAAGUUAUUCCUCUGAUGGUGUGUUGUGUUUUGCUCGAUGCGCUCCAACAAACGGUUAGUCUCCCGCUUGUUUCUCUCGACUUCCAGCAUAACUUCGGCCAGAGAGGGAGGGUGAGGCAGAUUUGUUCCCCCAACUCUGCUGCCUUCGGCCUGCUCUGGGGGAGUAGGGUUGGUGCGGGUGUUAACCAUCCUAGGAAAACAAAGCAAUGGUUUAGUCCAGGAUGAUAGGAUUUUGACAUAGAAAUGUAGAAUGUAAUGGAUAACUUGGAAUGUAAGAUGAUCAUCCGUAUGACAUGGUAGAUACAGAAACUACUUCUUUUAUUCCAUCGUCAUACACACCAUACAAGGUUUAGUAUAGAACCAAACAAAGUACUGCUAUGGUGAAAUUAGGAUUACAUCUCAUCGGAGGCAUUCCGAGCUCCUAUACAUUUUUUUUCUACAUCUUCGGAAGGCGGUACAAACUAAGGCAUAUCCCACGAGUCACGCAGGACGGUGGACGAUAUAGCUAGUACGACACUAGUGAUACUACUACUAACUCAGACAGCUCCGUAGUAGUCUUCAUAGAAGUCACCUCCAUAGCCUGGAAGCUCAACGUGAUCAUCCGGAAAUAGUCGGUCCCGUGGAGCUUGUGGACCAUAGGGGCUAGGAUGAGGUCUUGGGCCAAUAAACGGUGGCCUACGGGGACCACGAGGUCGGGUGAUGCCUCCUACAUCAUGCCAAUCCAUCACGUCUGGCAGAGCAGAUCUCACAGGAUAGAGAUCUCGCAUAUCCAUAUAUCCAGCUUGCACAGUCGGUGCAAACCGAGUCAAAGUGGCCCAAUGAUCAGCAUGGGUAUUGAAAAGCUCUAACCUCAAGGCCCGAUUUUCACGGUCCUUGUCUUCAAGCAACUGUGCAGUGGUGUGGGUCCGUGAAUCCUCCUGGGUGGAGUCAGCAUAGAUAGCCUGGAGAUACCCUUGUGCUCCUGUAAGUGAUGCUGGCAUAUACCGGAAAUCAGAGUCCCGAAAUAGGCCAGUCCUGACUCGCAUGAUGGUCAUCAUAGAGUAGGCAGCAUCCUGCACAGCCAUCUCAAUAGUAACCCCGAGUCCAUAGGAGCAGUGAAGGGGCUCGGUAGAUCCAGGAUAAGAUGGAAAUAUCCUGACAGUGCAAAGAUAUUGACUUUGAUUAAAGUCUCGGAAUUGCUCUUCAACCGUGUACUCAGGAUACCAACGGUAUCCAGCCUCGGUCAUUACCCUGACCAACAUAGCAGUAUGGCCGGGUACAUCUAGACAUCGAGUCAAACGAACCACUUGAUUCUGAGGACGGGACGCCAUCUGGAACAUGAUAAACACAAGACAUUAAAAUUCCUAGCAAAAAUUGGAUAGCAUAACGGCUGUAAAUGCUCAAAAAGGAUUUUGAGGCAUUUGACAAAGAAUUGCAUAGACACUCAACAACAUCAUAUCAAAGUUCUGGGUCCAUCUUAGCAACAUAAUGGGAUAGUAGAACUGAACUAGGCUUGUAUGCAUCAAACCUAUAAGGUACUACUGAUUAGUAACACGUGAAGUUGAUAGAGAGGAGAGAUCCUAGUCCUUAACCCCCGGUAGAAGAAUAGACUGACUCAGAUCAGAAUGUCAUGAGAUAGAGGAGUAAAAAGAGCCUUACGUUCCAUCCCACAAUCAAUUCCCCUAUAUAUAACUAAAGAAUUUCUAGACUCAACAUCGACCAGUUUGGCUUGGAGAACCUACAGGCAGUCCGGCUCUGAUGCCAACGCUGUCAGGACCCCGACUCGAUGCCACAUCGAUCUAGCAUGUGACACCUCAUAUCACUUUGCGGCCUCACGCACGGUUUUCCCACGGGUGUCGUCUUACCUUUGCCCGGGACCGUUUGCACCUUUUGGCACACGUAUAUGAUAGUGUCGCUAGCAUCCAUAUGGUAAGGAUCCCGGGCUGACAUGGCUAGUCGUAAACCCAAAGUGGCACAGACUUACAGGGACAGGCAUCCAUGACCCAGCAUCGAACGUGUCGGUCAUCAGCAAGUGAAUCCGGGCUGUAGCACUGGGCUGGUAGGACUCUGGUAAACCGGGUUGUAGCGGGCUAACAGGACUCCGGUAUCCAUCGCGUGACAUUUCCCCGAAGGGACAGACACAGGAACGAAGAAGGACACAUGCCGGCCAGCCUAAGUGUUCCGGAGCAGUAGCAAGCUACCAAGGCUCAGUGGAGACACUAGGAGACAUUUCCCAGUAAGAGAGGCUACUAAGAAUAAACAACUAGAUAGUCAGAUCCCACACAUACCAAGCAUUUCAAUCAUACACACAAUAUGCUCGAUAUGUGCAAAUACAACAAGGCAUCACAACAUGACUCUACGACACCAGUACUUUAUUUAAGGCUCAGAGAGCCAUACAUAUCAUACACACAAGUACAGGUCACACGACCUAGCAUUCAAGUCAUACAGACAUAGAAGCCAACAGCGGAAGUAACUUGUCUGGGUACAGACAACUAGUAAAAUAAAAGAGGCUUGGGAAAGCCUGGCUAUACUACGUGGUCCUUCACAAGCUCAGGAUCACCACCUGGGCCUCGGUCUACUCAUCGAUGUCAACGUCUACGAAGAACCCAUCAGAAGGGGUUGCAGCGUCUUCUGAAAAAUGUAAAUUAAAGCAACAUGAGUACAAAGGUACUCAGCAAGACUUACAUCAGAUCCUACAUACAUGCACAUUAUCAAGAAGGGUUGGUGGGGUUAUUGCAGCAAGCCAGCUUUGACUCUUGGCUAAGCUAUCCUACGAUACACCAACUUGAAAUGGCUUUGCGCACACGAGUCCACUACUCACCACUUCAAUACACCACCGAGGAUCCACCUCCGUCAUCCUACGGAAGAACCAUCCUCGGCACUCACGCUUAUCUUGAGAUUUUUAGUAGUAUCCAUUUACUUGUCUAUGAACUGUAUAGGCAACCAAGUAGUCCUUUACCGCGGACGCGGCUAUUCGAAUAGAUAAUGUUAACCCUGCAGGGGUGUACUUCUUCAUACACGCUCUCACCACUUACCGCCGUUUACACAACAUGUACUCGGCAACCUUCAAGCGGAAGCCCAACGUGGGUGUCGGCCACGACCUACCUAAACACCUAAGUCUCUAGUCCAGGUUUAUCGCCUAUCCAGGUUCCAUCCGCAGGGAGUCCAGCCGAGGUUUCCACAUACGGCCCUGAACGAUGUGUACAGGGUUCCCGAGAUACCUAACGGGUAUCUGGUACACCGUGCCAUGUACCUACCGCAUCACAGCCCACCCCUACGGUCAGCGCUGUCCACGGCCUCCAGUAGGCUACAAACACCAGAAACUACUUGCAACUCCUAGACAGAGGACUAGGGUGAAUAAGAAGCCAAGAGGGUCCAUUGGUUUCGGGCCCAAUGCAUGGUAGUAGCUGAUUCUUAAAUCACACAUACAGAUCUCAGUGCUUAAGGACGGCUUCAAUGAAACAACCCACCAUGUACUCCUACAUGGCCUUUCAUCGAUACCUUUACCAAAUCGUGUUCACCACAUCACUCUCAUUACCGGCAUGAUCAUUUCACUCUAGCCCAUCACCCAGAUGAACCAGACCUGACUCGACUCUAAGCAUAGCAGGCAUAGCAAGGUAGGAACAACACAUACAUAUGGCUCAAUCAACUCCUACACAUGCUAGUGGGUUUCAUCUAGUUACUAUGGCAAUGACAGGUCAUGCAGAGGAAAUGGGUUCAACUACCGUAGCACACAGCAGUUUGAAACGUGUUGUCUUAAUGCAGUAAAAGAGAGCAUAAGGAGAACAUGGGAUUGUAUCGAUAUGAUUAAAUGGUUGGUUGCUUGCCUGAUGGGUCGAUGCACUGAUAUUGUUCUUCGUUGGGGUAAUCAUGAUACUCCUCAGGGGCAGGACCUGCCGCAGAGAGCACCGAUACACAACAUCACCAAACAGUAUGCAGCAAUAUGAUGCAUGCAUGAAACAUGGCAAUAUGAGUGUGUUGGGCGAAUGCAACUAAAACCAGAUGGGUUUGAACCAUUUUGAAUCAAAGAUUCAAGUUUCAAACUCAUACAUGGCCCUUAUAAGGUGCUUUAACUUGUUCUGCAAUAAACAGUAGGUUAGCUUGUUUAAACAUGCAUGAAACUUGUACAGGUGGAUAGAUUGGAUUUUUCUGAUCAUUUUUCAUAUAUAACACUUUGCAUUUGGAGUUAUGGUUGAUUUACUAUGAAUUUUUGAAGUUUGGGGGAUUUUCUGGAAUUUAUAAAUCAUUCUAGAUUUAUUUUAAUUCCAGAAAAGGAUUACUGCGUCAGCAUGAUGUCAUGCUGACCUCAGCAGGUCAACAGGCCGGUCCAGGUCAAACUGACCAGUGGGUCCCGCAUGUCAGCACAAUUAGUUUAGCUAAAAAUUAAUUAGAACUAAACCGGAUUAGUUAACAGGGCUGGGGGUUCUGUCAUCCCCAUUUCAAGUUUCUGAUGGACAUUUUGGAAGGGCAUUUCAGGUUCAUUGAAAAUAUUUUUAGUAAACCCUAGUUGGAUUCAGAGGGGGCUGGGGGUUCUGUCAUCCCCAUUUCAAGUUUCUGAUGAAAGAAUAGACAUGAUGCAACACUCUAAUGCAUGAACUAGCUAGGGUGUGACACCGGUUGUAGAUAACUUGACACCAGAUCCGAAUUAAAACGCAUCAACCGCGUGUGUAGCCGUGAUGGUCUCUUUUCGGUGGAGUCCGGGAACUGAACACGGUUUUGGGUUAUGUUUGACGUAAGUAGGAGUUCAGGAUCACUUCUUGAUCAUUGCUAGCUCCACGACCGUUCCAUUUGCUCUCUUCUCGCUCUUAUUUGCGUAUGUUAGCCACCAUAUCUUUCUUAGUCGCUGUUGCAACCUCACCACUUUACCCCUUCCUUUCCCUUUAAGCUUUGCUAGUCUUGAUACCCAUGGUAAUGGGAUUGCUGAGUCCUCGUGGCUCACAGAUUACUACAACAACAGUUGCAGGUACAGGUUAUGCGAUGAUCAUGACGCAAGAGCGAUGCUUGCUUGUUUUGGAGUUCUUCUUCUGCUUCUUCUUUGAUCAGGAGAUAGGUUCCAGGUCGGCAGCCUGGGCUAGCAGGGUGGAUGUCGUUUGAGUUUUUGUUUGUGAUUCAUCCGUAGUCGGAUGAUGCUCUUAUGUAUUGUGAUGUUGUAUUCGUGUGGCAUUGUAUACCUCUUGUAUGUAUCCCCAUCUAUUAUGUAAUGUUGAUGUAAUGCUAUCCACCUUGCAAAAGUGUUUCAAUAUGCGGUUCUAUCCUUGGUGGGACCUUCUAGUCUCUUUAGGAUAGUAUCGCAUAUUGGGCGUGACAUUAUGUUGUUGUCCUUUGGUGCCCAUCAUAUGAGCGCGCGCGUGGAUCACACCAUAGGGUUAGUUGUAUGUUGAUAGGACUAUGUAUUGGAGGGCUAGAAUGACAGAAGCUUCAACCUAGCAUAGAAAUUGAUGCAUACGGGAUUGAAGGGGGACCAAUAUAUCUUAAUGUUAUGGUUAGGUUUUACCUUAAUGAACGUUAGUAGUUGCGGAUGCUUGCUAAUAGUUCCAAUCAUAAGUGCAUAGAAUUCCAAGUCAGGGAUGACAUGCUAGCAGUGGCCUCUCCCACAUAAAACUUGCUAUCGGUCUAGUGACAUAGUCAAUUGCUUAGGGACAAUUCCACAACUCCUACCACCACUUUUCCACACUCGCUAGAUUUACUUUAUUGCAUAUUUAUCUAAAGAUCCCCUACUUUUUAUUUAUGUGUUCUUUAUUAUCUUGCAAACCUAUCAUAUCACACCUACAAAGUACCUCUAGUUUCAUACUUGUUCUAGGUAAAGCGAACGUCAAGCGUGCGUAGAGUCGUAUCAGUGGCCGAUAGGACUUGAGAGAGUAUUUGUUCUACCUUUAGCUCCUCGUUGGGUUUGACACUCUUACUUAUCGAAAGAGGCUACAACUAUCCCGUAUACUUGCGGGUCAUCAGGUUGUCAGUAUUUGCAGGUUGUGAAUUGUGUUUUGUGUUGUGUAUUUUGAGAGUACUUUCAGAUAUGAAUUUCUUUUGAAUUUCAAAUUUGCAAUAUUGAGCAUAUGAAGUAUUUUAUGAAUUCUAGAGAUCUAUUUUUAGCACUUAAAAAAUGUAGUUUCAUAGGAGUAUAAAAGUGCAGACAAUGUGAUUCUCAGAGAAGAAACUGCAAGUUUCAGUUUAAGAUAAGAAAUUGCAAGUUCAGUUUUAGAUAAGAAACUGCAACUUUCAGAGGCAGAGCAUUUAUAUUAACACGGCCUUUUCAAACAAGGUUAACAUCAUGUUGGAAGUUUUAUUCAUGGUCGAAAAUGGAACUACCAGCCAGUUAACAUCAUGCUGAUCAACAUUCAUGCAUAGCACAUCUUCAUAUGAUGCACAGUCAAAAAGAUAUGCUAUUUUCAAAAUGCCAACACAAUGUCGAGUGUGCGAAACAUAGAGAAAACGAGGGACGAAGUUUUGGCAAGUGUUGGACGUGGUGUGCAUAGAUGAUAGUGGGGACCCACAUGUCAAUAUAGGCAGAGGCAAAAAAAUUGGAGAUAUUUUCCCUGCACAGGUGGAAUCGAACCCGGGCGGAACAGCUGUCGGGUAGUGUCACUUGGCCACUAGGCUAGUUCAGUAGUUUCGUUAAUAAUAAGGCAGUUCCUCAGGUAGUCGGAUCCCCUCCUGCGCCUUUGUGCACUCGCCGCGACGCCGCUGUCUACCAUUGUGAACAUGCUGAACAAACGAGAGGAAUCUAGAGAGGACUAUACGUGGAGAGGCGGACAGUCGGGACCCAUCAGGUCUAUGGCCGUAGGCAAGCAAGUGCCUCAUCGAAAAAAUACUUCCUCCUAAUGCUAUACUGACAUUGGGGCCAAAUCUGCACCUAAGAGCAAUACCAGGAGUAUACCAGCUGCUGAUAAGAACAAGGCCCCAGUGCCUGAAGUUGCUGCUGAGGAAGAUGAAGAAGGACAACUCCUAAAGAAGCUCAAACCCAAGAUUCUAGACCACAAUGAUGCUCAUCCAGUGGCUGAAAAUAUGAAGCUAAGGAAGGAUGCAGGGCUCAGGCAAUGGAGAUUGUCUGAUCCAUACGCAAUUAGGAGGAGAACUGUUGUAGAUUGCAGGUUCCACACUAAGGAACAGCAGGACUUCUAUGAGAAUGUGUUGUUGGAUAAGAAGCCCAUAGUCUAUGACAUGAGGUGGGUGGACUGGAAAUACAUGAAGGCCAAUGAGGAUCAUUACCCAGGAGUGUAUGAUAGCUUUAAGGCUUGUGGAGUUGAUGAGUUUGUUGGACAGAAGUUCACAAACUGGAAUGAUGAGCUAGUUAUGCAAUUCUACUCCACAGCUCAUUUUUAUCCUGAUGGCAGGAUUGUCUGGAUGUCUGAAGGUACAAGGUACCAAUCAACUAUUGAGGAAUGGGCCAAUUUGAUUAAUGCCCCGGAGGAGAAGGAAGAUGACUUGGAUGUCUACUCCAAGAAGAAGAAGGAUCACAAUUCCAUGUCUCAUAUGUACAAGGAGAUCCCAGACAAGGCCCUUGAAACUUUCAAGUUUGGGUCUGUCCACUUUCUUCUGCUAGGGCUACCAAUAAUCAACUGGAUUCUUAGGCACACUCUUUUGCCCAAGUCAGGUGACCACAACAUGAUCAGAGUGCAUGCAAUCAAUAUGCUUCACUUUUUUUAUGUGCCACAGAGAUUCAAGGUCAUGAGCCUCAUAGUUGAGACUAUCAAGAGGAUAGUAGCAAACCAAAAGAGAAGUUGUGGAUAUGCCCCACAAAUCCAGGAGCUGAUCAACUCAAAGAUGGGCACAAGAAAGUAUCUGUUGGAUAAGGAACACUUUGUUCUCUAUCCAGACUUUGAGGACAAUCAAGUUGUCAUGAAUGAGGAUGACCCAUCAUCAGUGCAAGCUCAAGAGAAGAAGGAGAAAACAAAGAAAGAGAAGGCUGCCAAGAUGCCAACUCUAGAGGAGGCAUCUGAAUACUUUUUGAAGAGCAAGCAGGACCAACUUGGUUACUUGAUAGCAUCAACUCUAAGGAUUGAGAAGGGGUUGGCCACCCUAACUCAAAACCAGGAGAGCCUGGAAAGAAUCAUGGAACAAAAAUUCUAUGAUUUAGAUGUCAAAGUAACUGAGAUUCAGUCAGUUGUGGAGCAGCUAUAGGAUGACAUGCAGGAGAGGAAGGGCAGGACAACUACUGAUGCAUUUGCCAGAGUGCCUCGAGCUCAGAGAUCAGCUGCAGAGCCAGUGACAGACGCCAGAGCCACUUCAUCUGCACCAGCAACAGCUCCAGUGCAACCAGCUCCAGCACCAACUCCUUCAGCUCCAUCCACAUCAACUUAAGUCUUCGUCCAAGGAGCCAUCUCUACACCACCAACUGAAGACCAAGCCUGAGAGACGAUAUAGUACUAUGCAUUUUCUAGGAACUUUUUGGUAACUUGUUGCCAAAGGGGGAGAAAAAUGUAUAGAUCAUAGGCUUCGAGAGAGAGAGAGUUUGCUUUUGUUCUCUCUUGUCUUCUUGGUUGAACUUUGUUUCCUUUUGCUUGCUUGAGAUACUAUGCUAUUAUCUGUGAGACAUUGAUGAUCAUGUGUUUGAUCAUAAGCUACACUUAUGCUUGUUAGAUGAUAUUAUCUUAUUUAUCCUUAUAUGAUCAUCCACUUUGCUUGGUGAUGAGUGCAUGUAUUCAAUCUUUAUUAUUUUGAGCGCUCCACCAAGAUGUAUGUGACAUGGAAGAGUAACCCAUGAGCCUAAUUCCUUGUGCAUUUGCAGUCCAAAGCAAAUCUUAAACUAUGCACAAAUUUAGGGGGAGCUCUUGCUUAUCACAUACUUCUCAAAGCGACGAUGUUUUUCAAUCUUAUUAUCAUUUGUCGAAGCUUUGAUCUAUAUGUUGUCAUCAAUUACCAAAAAGGGGGAGAUUGAAAGUGCAACUAUCCCUAGGUGGUUUUGGUAAUUCAUAUCAACAUAUAGCUCAUUGAGCUAAUACUAUUCCAAGACUAAUAUUUCAGGAAAGCUCAAUGAAUGGCAUGGCAUGGAUGAUGAAAGUGGAUCCCUCAAAAUAUUAAGGACAAAAGGAUUGGCUCAAGCUCAAAAGCUCAAGACUCUACAUUUUAUAUUUUAGUGAUCCAAGAUCACAUUGAGUCUAUAGGAAAAGCCAAUACUAUCAAGGAGGGAUGAGGUGUUGCUUAAUGAGCCUCUUGCUUCAAGUGCUUAGUGAUAUGCUCCAAAAACCCUCAACUACUUUCUCAUAUCCACAUAUGACCUAAACCUAAAGUCAAAAUUGGUCCCACCGAUUCUUUCUAUCCGGCGCCACCGAGUUCAAAUGUCAUAGCCACUGCCACAAACCCUAGGCAAAUCGGUCUCACCGAUAGGGAUCUCGGUCUCACCGAGAUGGGAUUGUAAUCUCUCUGUUUCCCUUCGUAACGUUUCGGUCUAACUGAAGUGAGCGAUCGGUCCCACCGAGAUUGCAAUGCAAACUCUCUAUUGCCCUUUCGUAACAUUUCGGUCUCACCGAAAAGAGCGAAUCGGUCCCACCGAGUUUACCUGACCAACUCUCUGGUUAGCUAAUUACCAAAAUCGGUCUCACCGAGUUUGUGUAAUCGGUCUCACCGAGAUUACGUUAUGCCCUAACCCUAAUCAUAUCGGUCCCAUCGAAUUGCAUGUCGGUCCCACCGAAAUCACUAACGGUCACUAGGUUUACUAAAUCGGUCUGACCGAGUUUGUUGAUUCGGUCCCACCGAGAUUGGUAAAUUGUGUGUAACGGUUAGAUUUUGUGUGGAGGCUAUAGAUACCCCUCCACCUCCUCUUCAUUCGUGGAGAGAGCCAUCAGAACAAACCUACACUUUGAACUUACCAUUUUUGAGAGAGAACUACCUAUUCAUGUGUUGAGGCCAAGAUAUUCCAUUCCUACCAUAUGAAUCUCGAUCUCUAGCCUUCCCAAUGUUGCUUUCCACUCAAAUCUUCUUUCCACCAGAUCCAAAUCCUAUGAGAGAGAGUUGAGUGUUGGGGAGACUAUCAUUUGAAGCACAAGAGCAAGGAGUUCAUCAUCAAUGCACCAUUUGUUACUUCUUGGAGAGUGGUGUCUCCUAGAUUGGCUAGGUGUCACUUGGGAGCCUCCGACAAGAUUAUGGAGUUGAACCAAGGAGUUUGUAAGGGCAAGGAGAUCGCCUACUUCGUGAAGAUCUACCGCUAGUGAGGCAAGUCCUUCAUGGGCGACGGCCAUGGUGGGAUAGACAAGGUUGCUUCUUCGUGGACCCUUCUUGGGUGGAGCCCUCCAUGGACUCGCGCAACCAUUACCCUUCGUGGGUUGAAGUCUUCAUCAACGUGGAUGUACGAUAGCACCACCUAUCGGAACCACGACAAAAACAUCUGUGUCUCCAAUUGCGUUUGAAUUCUCCAAACCCUUCCCUUUACUUUCUUGCAAGUUGCAUGCUUUACUUUCCGCUGCUCACAUACUCUUUGCAUACUUUCUUGAAUUGUGUGAAGAUUGCUUGACUUUUGCAAAGAUAGCUAAAAUCUGCCAAAGUCUAAAAUUGGGAAAAGGUUAAGUUUUUAAUUGGUCAAGUAGUCUAAUCACCCCCCCCCCCUCUAGACAUACUUCAAGGUCCUACAACGGCCUUGUGUUCGACCAGCCACAUUCGAAACAGGAUCAUGUUCAUCGGGAGGGGUUUGGCGUACCGCAAAACGGAGGAAACGGACUUGUGUUGAACCUCCUACAGUCGAAACGGGGUCCUGUUGAUCGGGAGGGGUGUGGCGUACCACAAAACAGAGGAAACGGACUUGUGUUGGAGCGCUACAGUCGAAACGAGGGUCCUGUUCAUCGGGAGGGGUGUGGCCUACCGCAAAACGGGACUCCACGGGAUACUGUUCAUCUCCACCGUCGACCUCCUCCAGCCUCCACGGGCUACUGUUCAUCCACCGUCAACCUCCUCCAGCCUCCACCUGCGACUUUUCAUCCACGGACUCUUGUUCAUCUAGCCUCCACCAUGUGCUACUCCACCGGCUACUAGUCAACCAGCCCUCUCCAUGGGCUCCUGUUCAACCACCCCUCCAUGGGCUACUGGUCAUCCACCCCUCCACCUUCUACUAUUCAUCCAUCCCUCCACGGGGUCGUCCUGUUCAUCCAGCCCUCCACGGGGUCCUGUUCAUCCAGCCCCAACCGGCUCGAUCGAUCGGGGUCAUGUUCAUCUAGAGGCAACACCACGAGGUCAUGUUCAUCCACCCCCACUACUCACUGUUUAUCCAAACCCCCCAGCAAUGCUCACUGUUCAUCCAGAGGCAGCAUCGAUCGGCUUCAGUUAGCAGCAGUAGCGAAGGAAUCGCUCGAUCGGGUUCAGUUAACAACCAUCGAUCGAUUGCUCGGGUUCAGUAACGUGUAGCUUGCAGUGCAAUCGCUUGGGUUUAGUAGUCGAACGCCUUGCUCGGGUUCAGUUAGAGCCCAACGCCUCGCACCCACGUGCGUGCGUGUAUGAGAGAAACGCACAAACCUCCGUGCAUCGCUCGGCCCCGACCACCCAUCGUAACCGGGAACACCCCGAUAUUUUCCUCGACCUCACUUCUACCACGGUUUUUUCCAUCAGGGACGGCCCAAAGACUGUCAUGCAGCUGCGUCUCCGGCCCGCCCAGGACGAAAAGCCUAUUUUCUGUCAUGAUUUUUUGUCAUAGAAGUAGGAGCCCACCACAUCUAUGAUGAUAUCGGGUUUUGUCACAAUUAUUGUCAUAGACGUGUCAUAAGUAUGACAGAAAAAAUUCGUUCAGCCCAAAAUGUCACGGAUGUGUCUUUUUUAUAUAGUGUGAAGUUUGCUAUAGCGAACUUGGCUGUGCACUGGUGAUCAACAGGGAAGAGCUAUGAGACAAAGAUGAUGUCUGCGGUGAUUAACUAAGGAAUGACUACAAUUGAGGGAGUUCCGGACUAGGGGGUGUCCGGAUAGCCGAACUAUCAUCAUCGGCCGGACUCCAAGACUAUGAAGAUACAAGAUUGAAGACUUCGUCCCGUGUCCGGAUGGGACUUUCCUUGGCGUGGAAGGCAAGCUUGGCGAUACGGAUAUGUAGAUCUCCUACCAUUGUAACCGACUUUGUGUAACCCUAGCCCUCUCCGGUGUCUAUAUAAACCGGAUGGCUUUAGUCCUUAGGACGAACAACAAUCAUACCAUAGGCUAGCUUCUAGGGUUUAGCCUCAUUGAUCUCGUGGUAGAUCCACUCUUGUAACACACAUCAUCAAUAUUAAUCAGGCAGGACGUAGGGUUUUACCUCCAUCAAGAGGGGCCGAACCUGGGUAAAACAUCGUGUCCCUUGUCUCCUGUUACCAUCCGCCUAGACGCAUAGUUCGGGACCCCCUACCCGAGAUCCGCCGGUUUUGACACCGACAUUGGUGCUUUCAUUGAGAGUUCCUCUGUGUCGUCACCGAUAGGCUCGAUGGCUUCUCCGACCGUCAUCAACGACGCAGUCCAGGGUGAGACCUUUCUUCCCGGACAGAUCUUUGUAUUCGACGGCUUUGCACUGCGGGCCAAUUCGCUUGGCCAUCUGGAGCAGAUCGAAAGCUACGCCCCUGGCCGUCAGGUCAGAUUUGGAAGUUUGAACUUCACGGCUGACAUCCGCGGGGACUUGAUCCUCGAUGGAUUCGAGCCACAGCCGAGCAUGCCGCACUGUCACGGCGAGCAUGAUUUAGCUCUGCAGCCGGACAGUACCCCGGAGGCCGCACUCGAACUCGCCCCGAUCUUCAAUUCGGAGCCGGCUGCGCAAAUCGAGGAUGGAUGGCUAGACACCGCCUCGAGGGCUGCAACCUCUACGGCGAUAGAGCCGAACACUGACCUUGUCCCUCAUAAAGCUCGUGACUCCAAGGCGCCGGACUCCUUGCCGGACUACGAACCUCCCGCGCCCCCUCCGAUCGAAUCCGACUGGGCGCCAAUCAUGGAGUUCACCGCAGCGGACAUCUUUCAACACUCACCUUUUGGCGACAUCUUGAGUUCGCUAAAAUGUCUCUCAUUAUCAGGAGAGCCCUGGCCAGACUGCGGUCAGGACCAUUGGGAUGCGGACGACGAAGAAAUUCAAAGCCCACCCACCACCCACUUGGUAGCCGAUGUCGACGAUUUAACCGACAUGCUAGACUACGACUUUGAAGACAUCGACGGUAUGGAUGACGAUGCCGGAGACGAACAAGAACCAGCGCCUACCGGGCACUGGAAAGCCACCUCAUCAUACGACAUAUACAUGGUGGAUAUCCCAAAGGAUGGGAAUGGCGGAGGAACAGAGGAGGAUGACCCCUCCAAGAAACAGCCCAAGCGCCGGCGUCAGCGGCGCCGGUCUAAAUCCCGCCACAGCAAGAAUGAAGAUUCCGGCACCGGAGAUAACAAUACACUGAAUAGUGCCGAAGACAACCCACUCCAGCAAGAUCCAGCGCAGGAGGAUGGAAACGCCAGCCCUCAUGAGAGAGCGGCAGAAGAAGAGGUAGAGGAUUAUAUGCCUCCCUCCGGAGACGAAGCAAGCCUCGACGAUGAUGAAUUCGUCGUGCCUGAGGAUCCCGUCGAACAAGAGCGUUUUAAACGCAGGCUUAUGGCCAUGGCAAACAGCCUCAAGAAAAAGCAGCAACAGCUUAGAGCUGAUCAAGAUCUGCUAGCCGACAGAUGGACUGAAGUCCUCGCGGCCGAAGAGCAUGAGCUCGAACGCCCCUCCAAAAGCUACCCUAAACGCAAGCUGCUCCCCCGAUUAGAGGAGGAAGCGUAUGAACCCGCAUCACCAGGAGACAAUAGGCUGACCGACCACUCCGUUGUCGCGACAGAGAGGCCUCUAGGCCCUUCACUAGACCCGUACUCUGGCACCGCUCGAAAAGCACAAGACCACAGGGGAACGCUCCGGACUUGCGAAAUAUAUUGGAGGAUAAGGCAAGACAAUCAAGAUCGAUUUAUGGAUCGUGUGGGCGUCCCACGGUACGUGACGACAACCGUCGCGCCGGACACAGUAAGUCCGGCCGGGCCGAACAAAAUAGACAAAGCUCUUUUGAGCUCCGUCAUGAUAUCGCCCAGUACAGAGGCACGGCACACCCACUAUGCUUCACAGAUAAAGUAAUGGAUCAUCAAAUCCCCGAAGGGUUUAAACCCGUGAAUAUCGAAUCUUACGAUGGCACAACAGACCCCACGGUUUGGAUCGAAGACUAUCUUCUUCACAUCCACAUGGCCCGCGGUGACGAUCUUCACGCCAUCAAAUAUCUCCCCCUCAAGCUUAAAGGACCAGCCCGGCAUUGGCUUAACAGCCUGCCAGUAGAGUCAAUUGGGAGUUGGGAAGACCUGGAAGCCGCAUUCCUCGAUAACUUCCAAGGCACGUAUGUGCGACCACCAGACGCUGAUGACCCAAGCCAUAUAACUUAGCAGCCAGACGAAUCGGCCAGACAAUUCUGGACACGGUUCUUAACCAAGAAAAACCAAAUCGUCGAUUGUCCGGAUGCGGAGGCUCUCGCAGCCUUCAAGCAUAACAUCCGCGAUGAGUGGCUUGCCCAGCACCUGGGACAGGAAAAGCCGAAAUCCAUGGCAGCCCUUACAUCACUCAUGACCCGCUUUUGCGCGGGUGAGGACAGCUGGCUAGCACGCAGCAACAACCUCAGCAAAAAUUCUAGCAGUCCGGAUUUCAAGGACCGGAAUGGCAGGUCGCGUCGUAACAAAAGCAAGCGCCGCAUUAACGGCGACAAUAGUGAGGAUACGGCAGUCAAUGCCGGAUUCAGAGGCUCCAAACCCGGUCAGCGGAACCAUUCAAAAGAACUGCUCCGGGUCCGUCCAAUUUGGACCGAAUACUCGACCGCUUGUGCCAGAUACACAGCACCCCCGAAAAGCUAGCUAACCACACCAAUAGGGACUGUUGGGUAUUCAAGCAGGCAGGCAAGUUAAUUGCCGAAAACAAUGACAAGGGGCUGCAUGGCGAUGACGAGGAAAAGACCCGACCGCCGAACAAUAGAGGACAGAAGGGUUUCCCCCCACAUGUGCGGAGGGUGAACAUGAUAUACGCAACGCACAUACCCAAAAGGGAGCGGAAGCAUGCACUCAGGGAUGUAUACGCGAUGGAGCCAGUCGCCCCGAAGUUCAAUCCAUGGUCCUCCUGCCCGAUCACUUUUGACCGAAGGGACCACCCCACCAGCAUCCGCCAUGGCGGAUUCGCCGCAUUGGUCUUAGACCCAAUCGUCGAUGGAUUUCACCUCACUAGAGUCCUGAUGGACGGCGGCAGCAGCCUGAACCUACUUUAUCAGGAUACAGUGCGCAAAAUGGGCAUAGACCCCUCAAGGAUUAAACCUACCAAGACGACCUUUAAAGGCAUCAUACCAGGUGUAGAAGCCAAUUGUACAGGCUCAGUUACACUGGAAGUGGUCUUUGGAUCCCCGGAUAACUUCCGCAACGAGGAGUUAAUCUUCGACAUAGUCCCAUUCCGCAACGGCUAUCAUGCCUUGCUCGGACGUACCGUGUUUGCAAAGUUCAACGCGGUGCCGCACUAUGCAUACCUCAAGCUCAAGAUGCCAGGCCCUAGAGGAGUCAUCACGGUCAACGGAAACACUGAACGUUCUCUCCGAACGGAGGAACAUACAGCGGCUCUCGCGGCAGAAGUACAAUGCAGCCUCUUAAGGCAAUUCUCGAGUCCGGCCAUUAAGCGGCCGGACAUAGCUAAGCGCGCCUGGAGUAACCUACAACAAGACCACCUGGCACGUUCCGAGCACGCGUAGCAGUGCGGCCCCAACCCCAGCCCCUAUAAAACGUCCAAACAGGUCCUUCGCGUACACCGUUCCGCUCUGAAGAUACCAUGGGCAUGGGGAGAGGGGCACGACCACAAUAAGCCCAGACUGCGGCUCAACCACACCAGGGGCUCGCAAGUGUGUCGUUCUUUUUUUUCUUUUUACCUUUUAUUUUUUACCCACAGGACUCCGUUCGUUAGAGGCCCUGUCCGGCAGCAGACCUGCCGAACUCACGAUGCAACAGCCAGGGAAGGAUACAGGCUACAACGAAUAUACAGGUGGUCUCCAUUACGAGCAUUUUUAUACACCAAUCCGCAGCCUACCCCUGGAGGGGGAUAUGUUUAACAGUCCGAUCCCUUGCUUAUCGCACUAUUUGUAUCGUUCUGCAUUCAUAGCAGCACUUAUUGAAUAAAACAAUGCAGCACCUUUCUGCUUAUAAUUGCAUUUCCCUUUCAUACAUAUGUUCAUUUACGACAUGUUGCAUCCGUACACUUUGGUACGGUUAACACACAGCAGGGGCUUAUGUUUCCCGCAUCAUGGUGUGAUAAGUCCGAACACUUUCACAAGUGCGGCACCCUGAACUUAUAGCAUUAUAUGCAUCGGCUCCGAAUCAUGUCUUGGGUCAAUAGUUGGGUUUGCCCGGCUCCCAUGUUUUGGUACCUUACGUUCCGUUAUAUCGGCUAAGGUAGCACUGGGAGAACCACUGCGAUUGCGCCCCGGUUGAGCUGGGUUAACGCCUCAGUGGAGAAAGCUAAAACUGACCGUCAUGAUGAGGCGAGAGCCGGUCACUGUUCGAGAGGUUUUUGCGAGUCCUUAAAGACUUAUGCCGCUUAGAGCGAGGAGCCGGAUCUUGUCCGGCCCAGGCGUGGAUAGCGCCCCAAAUUCGGCCUUCCGAAGACUAGGGGCUUCGCCGAAAUUUAAAAUUAUAGAAUUCUAUGGCUAAGUGAGAGUGUUCAAGCAUUAUAAGUCUGGUUGCCUUGUUCGUUGUGUUGAGCGCCUCCCUAGAUGGACCCAAAUAUGGGAACAAGAGCGCUCAAAUUUAUCCCAAACACCCCAGCACUCGUGGCGUGGGGGCUGAAGCCGACGACUUGCCAUCUCUCGGAUUUGAUAAACAGCCGCACAGAAGGUAAUAUUUUAAAUUAAAAAGCGUUGCUUAGCGCAAAUGAACUAAGUUUUCAGCGCACAUGAUAACAAAAUGCGAGUCUACUCAAAUAUUACAUCUUUGGAGCACUCACCCGCAAUAGUGCGGGCGCCCUUCAGCACACUCUUAUAAUACAUCUCGGGCGUGCAAUGCUCCUUGCCCUCUGGUGGUGGGUCUGUCACAAGCUUCUGGGCAUCCAUCUUGCCCUAGUGCACCUUUGUGCGGGCAAGGGCCCGACGGGCACCCUCAAUACAGGCGGAGUGCUUGAUGACUUCAACCCACGGGCACGCCUCCACCAGCCGCCGCACCAGGCCGAAGUAGCUCCCAGGCAUGGCCUCCUUAGGCCACAGCCGAACUAUGAGGCCCUUCAUGGCCUGUUCGGCCGCCUUGUGGAGCUCGACCAGCUACUUCAGCUGGUCGCUAAGGGGCACCGGAUGUCCGGCCUCAGCAUACUGAGACCAGAAGACCUUCUCCGUCAAGCUCCCCUCCUCGGCCCGGUAGAAUGCGGCAGCAUCGGACACGCUACGAGGAAGAUCUGCGAACGCUCCUGGAGAGCUCCGAAUUCGGGUAAGCAAUAGGUAAUGAACACUCACAUGCUUACUUUGCAUGAAAAAUGCCUUACUCGCUGCUAUUUUCUUCACCGCCUCAAUCUCCUGGAGGGCCGUGUAGGCUUCGGCCUUAGCGGCUUUGGCACUCUCAAGAGCCGUUGCAAGCUCGGACUCUCGAGUCUUCGAGUCAUGCUCCAGGCUCUCAUGUUUUUUCACGAGAUCCUGGAGCUCUUGUUGUACCUCCGCCACCCGCGCCUCCUGUUUCUCUCGCUCCGUGCACUCUGCGGCCACAUUUCGUUCGACCGCGGUCACCGCCUAUUUCAGGGUCGCCACCUCAUUAGUGGCCCCUGCAAUACCCACGUUAUCCUUGUCAUUCUUUUUGCAACCAAAAUCCUUUUUUGUAAGGUACAAUUUUAAUAAGGUGUUACUCACCUUCCUUAUCCUCGAGCUACUUCUUUGCACGGCCGAGCUUGUUCUCGGACCGCUCGAGGUUUUCCUUCAAAGUAUUGACCUCCGCAGUCAGUGCGGCAGAGGUCAGCAGCGCAGCCUGCAAUCCCAUAUUGAUAUAUUUUUUAUGACUCCUGCGUAUAUCUUUUUUAAGAUCCUCAGUCCGGCUUUUCUUUCCGAACACCGAACCGAGCAUCAGGGGCUACUGUCUAUGCGGUACCAUUUUAUACAUAUUGAAAUUCUUACCUCAAAGCCUGUUAGAAGGCUGCUGCAGGCUUCGGUCGUCCCACUCUUGGCGAGCUGCACCUUCUGAAUCACCGCACUCAUAACAGUGCAGUGUUCUUCUUCGAUGGAGGCGCCGUUGAGUGCCUCCAGCAAGUUAUCCGGCACCUCCGGUUGGACGGAGGAAGCCGGCGUCACGGUCUUGCCCUUCUUGCGAAGGGGUCGCCCGCCGGACUCCGGAGCCCCUGUGGGUUCCGGGGCCGAGUCCGGUGCAAAGUCCGGGAGGUUGUCCUGCGAUACCUCCAGGGCCCUCUCCUCCUGGUGGGUCCCUUCCUGGGAUCCCACCUCGGCAUCAUCCACAUUACGGGGGGUCGAGGCCGUCGGAAGAGAAUCCAUAUCCGACGCACCUAAGGACCCGCUCGACGAGGCGGGAAGAUCAUCCUUAGGCGGACUGCAGGGUUGUAUGCGGCAUUAGAAAAACAUUAUGUGGCGAAAAAUAAAAACCUUGAAGUUAUUCGGGAGUCCGAAUACUUACGAUCUCGCCAGGGGCUUGGCCCUUGGAGGCCAGUCCUCGUCGUCGUCACUAUCGUUGGCGGAGCAGUUCGAGGGAAGAGUUUUUCCCUUNNNNNNNNNNNNNNNNNNNNNNNNNNNNNNNNNNNNNNNNNNNNNNNNNNNNNNNNNNNNNNNNNNNNNNNNNNNNNNNNNNNNNNNNNNNNNNNNNNNNNNNNNNNNNNNNNNNNNNNNNNNNNNNNNNNNNNNNNNNNNNNNNNNNNNNNNNNNNNNNNNNNNNNNNNNNNNNNNNNNNNNNNNNNNNNNNNNNNNNNNNNNNNNNNNNNNNNNNNNNNNNNNNNNNNNNNNNNNNNNNNNNNNNNNNNNNNNNNNNNNNNNNNNNNNNNNNNNNNNNNNNNNNNNNNNNNNNNNNNNNNNNNNNNNNNNNNNNNNNNNNNNNAGUCCCUGUGGCCUUCUUCUUGGCCUUCUUCUCCGGCACCACAUGGGGUGCCAGAGCCAGCAGCCCCGUUAGGCGGGCGUCCACUGGGUCCUCUGGCAAUGGGGCCGGACAGAUAGUCCGUUUGGCCUUCGCCAGCCAUUCCUGUCAAAGGUAAAGGGAGUUUAGAUCCUGCAUAGAGUCAAACUAUGGAAAACAAGCGGUGAAAUCACCUACCUCGUCGGCUGGACGCUGCGAGCGGAAUCCGCGAUCUUCAGUAGCGGAUGCAGGAGCUUCGGCGCCCUUGAACAGCACCUUCCAGACAUCUUCGUAUGUAGUGUCGAAGAGCCCGCUCAGGGUCUGGUGCUGCGCCGGAUCAAACUCCCACAUGUUGAAGCCCCGUCGUUGGCACGGGAGAAUCCGGCGAUGAGCAUGACCUGGACUAUGUUGACAAGCUUGAGCUUCUUGUCCACCAGCUUCUGGAUACAGGCUUGGAGUCCGGUCAACUCCUCCGAAUCCCCCCAGAUCCGGCCGCUCUCUUUCCAGGAGGUGAGCCGUGUAGGGAUGCCGGAUCUGAAUUCGGGGGCCGCUGCCCAAUCAGGGUCACGCGGCUCGGUGAUGUAGAACCACCCCGAUUGCCACCCCUUGAUGGUUUCUACGAAAGUGCCCUCCAGCCACGUAACGUGGGACAUCCUGCCCACCAUGGCGCCUCCGCACUCCGCUUGGCUGCCCUUCACAACCUUCGGCUUGACACUGAAGGUCUUGAGCCACAAGCCGAAGUGGGGCUGGAUGCAGAGGAAGGCCUCACACACGACGAUAAAUGCCGAGAUGUUGAGGAUGAAAUUCGGGGCCAGAUCAUGGAAAUCUAGGCCGUAGUACAACAUGAGCCCCCAGACAAAGGGAUGAAGUGGGAAGCCCAGUCCAUGAAGGAAAUGGGGGAGAAAUACUACCCUCUCAUGGGGCCUGGGGGUGGGGAUGAGCUCUCCCUCGUCGGGGAGCCGAUGCGCGAUGUCGCUGGACAAGUAUCCGGCGUUGCGCAGCUUCUGGAUCUGCCCCUCCGUGACGGAGGAGGCCAUCCACUUGCCUCCCGCUCCGGACAUAGUUGGAGAAGGUUGAGGUGAGAAGUGCGGACUUGGGCGCUGGAGCUCGAGUUCGCGGAGAUGGAUAAGCCAAGGAGGAAGAAGGCGCAGGUAAAAGGAGCGGAUCUUUAUCCCCUUAUAUGGGCGGACAAAAACAUGUGUCCCCACCGGCCUGGUAAAACUCGCUUAUCUCCCAAGCAUCACAAUCAAUGGCGCGGUUGGGUUACCCACGUCCGUAUUGAUGGGAAUCCCGGAAUAAGGGGAACACGAUCUCUACUUCGACAAGACGUGCCAAGGAAACCGCCUCGCUAAACAUGCGGAGGUGGAACAAUAAAAACAAUUCGAGUAAAGGCUUGGUAAUGGUGUGAUGUCAUGCCACAAAAUACGUCAGCAGAUUGAACUUGUGUGAUAUUAUUCUCUCUACGGUGGUAUGUGGAAUUUAUUUUGCAGAGUCGGACACUAUCCUGGUGUUCACAAUCUUCUAUAUGUUAUUCGGAGGAAGAACCCGCCUUGCAAUGCCGAAGACAACAUGCGCGCCGGACUCGUCGUCAUUGAAGCCUGGUUCAGGGGCUACUGAGGGAGUUCCGGACUAGGGGGUGUCCGGAUAGCCGAACUAUCAUCAUCGGCCGGACUCCAAGACUAUGAAGAUACAAGAUUGAAGACUUCGUCCCGUGUCCGGAUGGGACUUUCCUUGGCAUGGAAGGCAAGCUUGGCGAUACGGAUAUGUAGAUCUCCUACCAUUGUAACCGACUCUGUGUAACCCUAGCCCUCUCCGGUGUCUAUAUAAACCGGAUGGCUUUAGUCCUUAGGACGAACAACAAUCAUACCAUAGGCUAGCUUCUAGGGUUUGGCCUCAUUGAUCUCGUGGUAGAUCCACUCUUGUAACACACAUCAUCAAUAUUAAUCAGGCAGGACGUAGGGUUUUACCUCCAUCAAGAGGGCCCAAACCUGGGUAAAACAUCGUGUCCCUUGUCUCCUGUUACCAUCUGCCUAGACGCACAGUUCGGGACCCCCUACCCGAGAUCCGCCGCUUUUGACACCGACAACAAUCCUGCUAAAUUUGAGGAGAAGUGGAGCUCAAAACAACAUAGUUGCUUUGUAAGUGUAAAUUUGGUCCAGAAAAUGGAUUUGGAUGAUGCACUCACAUAGAGAAGCAACUUGGAAUCAAAUUUGGCAAUGCAGGGUUAUUUGGCUAUAUAAAGAUGCUGUAAAAAUUUCAUACCAAAUGGACUUGCCAAAAUGGUACUUGCUUCACAAACAUCCUCGCUGACCAGAAAAUUGCAAAAAUUUUGGAGGGAAAAUGGCUUAAGGAAAUGAUCCCAAAUUUGGGGGAGAGAUGUUAUUUGGGUAGGAGCAUUGUAACAUCCCAAAUUUUCAAUUUGGAAUGUUAUACAUUAGAUCAUCAUUCCAUAUCAUAUUUUAUUGCAUUUUGGCUUGAUCUUAGAAAUUCUACGCAACUCAAGGACCCGCGAAGAGAGUUGGGGAUUUCGUUAUUUUCAUAUUUGAGUUUUCUCAAAUUUUGAAAAGAGGACCAUUUGAUUUUAAUUAUUUUCUAUUCGAAUAUUUCUUUUAUAAAAAUAAAAUAGAGGGGAUAAAAUGACUUUCCCAAAAUAAAGAAAUAUUGGCGAUUUAAUAUUAAAAUCAAAUAAGAGUUUUAUUCGGAGUUUUAUUCCUAUUUUAUUUGAAUUAGGAAAAAUAUGCGUUUCUCAUAAUUGCAUUAGAGGCCCAAAUAAAUGUUCACUUUGUCCGCUGUAUUCUUAGAGGACGGGGAAAAUUUAUUUUAGGAUUUUUGGAGUCCCUUUAGUAUUUCUUUUAUUUGUCUUUUCGCGCGCGGAAUUAUUUAAAAAAAAGUUACCGACCUAACGGGCCGUGUCCGACCCGGACACUCCAGCCCGGCCGGACUUUAAGAGGCGAGGCCCGAGCCGCCCCAAACCCUAGCCGCCAGCCCCUAAUCCACUGCCGCCGCCAGCCUCCGCCGCCGCCGCCGCCUCUCGCCCGCGCCGCCGAUCCUCCAGCCACCCGCCGCCGCCGGCGGCCAUCACCAGAGUCGCCGUCGUCUCGCCGCCCACCGACCCCGCCGACGAGGUAGUCGCCGGAUCUGCCACCGGUUUUCUCUAGAAAACUGUGCGGUUUCUUUUUAGAACCGCGGUUGAUUUUUUUAUUUUUAGAUCGGUUUUAUUUUAUUUAUUUUUUCUGGUUUAGUUAUUUAGCGAACGCCCGUUUGUUAGUUUGUUUUAACGAACGGUUUUCACCCGUUAGCCGCAGACAGCGAAUGUUCGUUCGCUAGCCUGUUCGUCAGUUUUUCUUUUUUCAGGGUUUUCCCGCGAUUAUUUUCGAUCGCGAUUUCUGUCCUGAUUUUCGUUUUAGUUUAUCUUUUCGCUUGUUUAUCGAAAUCAGGCGAUUCAAGCGCCUAGAGUUUCAUCUCGAAGCCCUCUUUCUAUUUAACCAACUUAAACAAGAUUUUGCUACUUAAAAUUUGACUUAAGUCCAAAUUAGUAAACAGAGCUUGUUUCUUUCAUUGAAGUUUCGUUGCUUCGUUUGAUUUGAUUCUUUUUGCAAAGCAAAGUUCUUAAGUUGAACUUUCUGGUAGAUCUCUUAUUUGAAUUUUACCCAUGCUUCUAGUUGAGUGCUUAUUGUAUGCUUUUUUAUUGCGAUAGAGUACCCAGAGUGCGAAGCGUGCUACUACGAGUCUCUAGGUUUCACGUAUCAUCAGCAAGGCAAGUAACACUUUGAUCAUACCUCUUUACUACCCAGUUUUAUUGCAUUAGAUCAAUCCUCAAACAAUUGCAUGGUUAGGAUUUGAUUUUAACAUGUGGUUUUUGGGAAGUAGAUGAGGUAGUACCUAUUGUCCUGUUUAUUAUCAAACCUUUGGGGGUUACUUCUACGUUGCUUAUAUUGCUAUGCUAUGCUUGUAGACGUGGAUUGGGUGAGUGUAUCCAUGACAGAUAUGAGUAUUGUUAUUUAAUGGUUUAACUUAAGAUGGCUACUUAAAUAGACAUCUGGGUGGAUUGAGGCACCUGGGGAACCCAGUGUUGCCUGUUUUUUUGGAAAUCUCGGAGUUACGGUGUGAUUAUCCUAUGGACUGCCACCCAGGCUCAAAGGGAUUAUAAGAUUAUUCAUGCUAGAAACUUCCGUGUGCAGCCACAAGCUAUUGUGGGCUCUAGCAUAGUUGAGUAAGUUGCAAGACCUCUUUCAGUGGUGGGCUAGCAGAUGUUGGGGAAAAUAGGUGUAACUGUCCACCCAGAGUAAAGAGUUAUUGUUUUAGAAAGACUGUGUCUCGAUUCUCCGAUCAUGGAUGUAUUCGAGUCUUGUGGGGAAAAGAGCACAAACCUCUGUAGAGUGUAUAAACUAAUCAUGGUUAGCCGUGUCCCCGGUUAUGACAGUUUUGAGUAUCUAGUUCUUGGAUUAUCAUGUUGAUCUCAUCACUCUUAAUUUAAUUUGAUUGGGUUUAAUGAUGAUGCUUAAUUGGGAUUGAGUUGGAGGAACCUUCACAAUGUUUAACAACCACCAUGAUAGUUAAAUAAAGUUAUUCCUUUGUUGUAGGGGAAAAUUGGCUUUAUGCAAAAUAAUAAUCAUAGAGCUUUCCACCAGCCAUAUAUGCAUGUAGUGAUAGCAAUUAUUUAUGUUCAUUACUCUAUGUGUUACAUUGCCAGCAUAUUCCAUGUGCUGACCCGUUUCGGGCUGCAACGUUCAUGUUGCAGACUUUUCGGACGACGAGUAAGGUGCCUUAGGUCGUGAUCUUUCACUCAGUCAUGCUGUUGGAUUUGAUGGACUCACUUUAUCUUCCAAGCCUUCUGUUGUUAUCGAUUUUAGAUCGACGUAAGCCAUAUUUAUUGUAAUAAGUUCUCUGUUGAGACAUUCGAUGUAAUAAGUGUGUGAUUGCUACUCUAUUAUAAAUCCUUCAAGUACUGUGCGUGUUAGCAUUACCCAUCCAGGGAUGACACUGAUGCACAGAAAUCAUACUGUUUGAGGUCUGGUCGCUACAAGAUGGUAUCAGAGCACACACUGACUAUAGGACACGACCACUAAGCUAAAGCCCUAGAUCACUAUUCUCUUCUCAUUUCUGACUCCUCUCCCUUUUCUACUCUUUAGGAUGGCGGAUGCAACGAACAAGUUCACUCAACCGGAUGAAGAUACACCUUUUGGACGCCACUUGAAGGAAGUUACUAGGUACCUGAACAUUGGAAUACCAAGGUUCACCAGGACCUACAUCGCCAAUCUACUAGAAGAGGAGCGUUGGAUGAUUCGAGUUCAAGUUCCAGGAAGGACGUUCAUGCCAGUCAAUGAGCCCAUAGAGUUUUCCUUUGAUGUACCAACCUGGAGUCUAGGAAAGAGCAUGGCAGCCCACAUCACCAUGGGACGCAUUGGAGAAGUUUACCACAAGGAUCUCAAGGAUACUAUCUACCAGAUUUGUAGGCGCCGAGAUGAACAAUGGGAGAUGAUCAGCACCAGGAAGGAUAGAUCCAUUGCAGCUUUCAUCCAGGAGUUAAAUCAGCAUAUUCAUCGCCAAGAGAACCAAAUGUGCGCAGGCAUGAAUGAUCUGAAGAAGGCAAUGACCAGGAUCACGGAGCUGGAGGAAGAACUCAAGUCUACACGCGAUGGAUAUGAGGAGGAAAUGACGAUACUCGUGGAGAAGAAUGAUGAUCUGGCAAGGAAGCUAGGAAUAUUCAUGGGAGACCCCGCGCCAGGAGGAGAGGACGACGAUUCCACUUGCCCGAAGAACUACAUCAUCAUCGACGACACUAACUCAGACCCUGAUGAUAGUGAUGAUGAUUAUGUUGAUGAAUCUGGAGCAGAUAUCAUGGAGUCUUCCACCAAUCAAGUUUUCUAGUCGACCACCAUAUCAGUAGUAGUAUUCCCCCAUGUAUAUAGUAUAGUCCGAGCACUUUUGUAACGAUAGUUAGACCGAUGUAUGCCCUUGUUUGAAUUGAUUGAAGUGAUAUUGUUUGUGUUUGUCUCAUGUGCAUAUGGGUAGUGUUUUUCCCCCUAGACCUCAUUCUAUUCUAUUUUCUCAUCUUCUCUAAACCCAUCAGAUGCCUUCGAGACGCGACAAUGGUUUUGCUUUCCCACCGGAGCUCACUCAGUUGAUCCAGCACCACAAUGCAUUGAUGCAGAUACUAGUCUAGAAUCAGAAUCAGGGGAAUAACAACAAUAACAACCCACCACCACCACCACUUGUUGAUCACUUAGCCCAUUUCCUAAGGUUGAAUCCGCCGGUGUUCUCCAAUAGCACCGAGGUGAUAGUUGCAGAUGAUUGGCUCCGCAAGAUUGGAAGGGAGUUGACCACUACAGGAUGCACAGAUGCAGAGAGAGUGUGUUUUGCUGCACAUCAGCUUGAUGGACCCGCAGCAUCAUGGUGGGAGAAUUUCACAACCACUUACCCCAUUGACACUGUUACAUGGGAUCAGUUUCAGCAAGCUUUUGGCACUGCCCAUGUUUCAGCAGGAGCUAUGGCCAUGAAGAAGUGUGAGUUUUGCAACUUGCACCAAGGAGGACACACAGUAGGUCAAUAUGUGGAUGAUUUUAGUAAGUUAGCAUGUUAUGCCCCGGAUGACGUUGCUACGGAUGCAGCUAAGCAGGAGUAGUUUCUGGAAGGACUGAAUGAUGAGCUGAGCAUGCAGUUGAUGGUGGCAAACUUCAACAACAACCGGGAGUUGGUAGAUAGAGCUCUCAUGAAUGAAGGGAAGCAGCAGCAGAUUGACAACCGCAAGAGGAAGUAUGGACAAGGGAAGUACAAUUCAAGAGCUCAGCAGAGGCCCUGUUUUACCCCAAACUCGGGAGGACACCUUCAACAUAACCAUGGAAGUCACAAUCACAAUGGAGGGAGUUCUCACAACCAUAGUGGCCCCAAGAAUGGGAAUGGGAAUGGAGGAAACAACGACCAAAGUCGUACCAACCCAGCAACGCCCGCCAAGAAGGAUCUAAGUCACAUUACUUGCUACAAGUGCCAGAAGACUGGACAUUAUGCCAAUGAAUGUCCUGAAGCUAAGAAUGGAAAUGGCAAUGGAAUCUCUGGGAAGAAGCCCAACCCUUUCAACAGGGUACAAGUGAACCACGUUAACAUGGAGGAGGUUGAAGCACAGCCAGAUGCAGUAAUAGGUAAGUUUUUGGUUAAGUCAUUUACUGCAAUCGUUCUUUUUGAUACUGGUGCAUCGCAUUCAUACAUAUCAAGAGGAUUUGUGGAUAAGUAUAAACUGCCCACCAAAGUUCUUAGAACACCUAUGUUAGUAAGCUCGCCAGGAGCGGAGCAUAUGGCAAGCCAAGGAUGUUUUCAUAUGCCAUUGACCAUAGGUAGGCAUGUUUUCCCCUCAGACCUGAUAAUUCUGGAGUCGCAAGGUUUGGAUGUGAUUUAGGGUAUGGAUUGGCUAUCGAUGUAUGGAGGAACCAUCGAUUGCACCAACAAGUCGAUUAUGCUUACCACCCUAGAAGGAAGGAGGAUUAAGUAUGUAUCCCGGCAUGUGCCGAAAAGGACUCAAGUAAAUUCCUUAUUAGGAGUUGUACAGGAGGAAGUACCAGUGGUGAAGGAUUUCCCUGAUGUAUUUCCAGAGGAGUUGCCAGGCAUGCCACCGGAUAGAGACAUUGAGUUUUUGAUUGAGCUUUUGCCAGGCACAGGGCCAAUAUCUAAGAGACCGUACUGGAUGCCCGCAAUGCAAGGUUAUUUGGCUAUAUAAAGACGCUGUAAAAAUUUCAUACCAAAUGGACUUGCCAAAAUGGUACUUGCUUCACAAACAUCCUCACUGACCAGAAAAUUGCAACAAUUUUGGAGGGAAAAUGGCUUAAGGAAAUGAUCCCAAAUUUGGGGGAGAGAUGUUAUUUGGGUAGGAGCAUGAUAUGGUAGUUCCUCAUAAUUAAUGACGCAUUAUAAAAUGUACUUGCUUCACAACCUGAAAAUAUUAACAGAAUCAAGGAAUUGAAGCUAUGCUCACAUUGAUGAUUGGAUGGAGCUAAAAAUUGGAGGAGGGUAAUGAUAUAAUCACAUGAAGAGGCCUGCAAAUUUUCAACUCAUUUGGAUACUCCUAGCUAGUAAUUCCUUCACAAUGGCUUCUGUUUGACAGAAACUUUGAAAACGGGGAGUACGUAUUUGUCACCGACAUUACAUUCAUGUUCACACACUCAUUCUAGUCGUCGGUGCUCAUACUUUUUCAUUACACUAUCCAUGCUAGUUUAUUUUCUUUUUCUAGUUUUCUUCUUGUGUGUUUGAUAAACCUUAAGAAAAACCAAAAAAUUAGUUAGCUUACUUUCCAUGCUUGUAGUAGUAAUUAAAAGAAAACCCAAAAAGAUUUCUCGUUCUUCUUUUGCUUGUUGGGAGCUUUCCCGUGUAAAUAGUUUUAUUUCUUUUCUUUCCUUUGGGGGUCGAGAGGAGAAGACCAUAAUGGAAAUGUUUAAGUGGCUCUCGUAUGCAUUAAUGUUGAUUUAACCACGAGCCCAUAUUACCUUGUCUUCUCCCUUGAGUUGAAUGCUUGCAGAUUCUAGCUUAGUCCAAUGCAUGCACUAUUAUUAUUAUACACACCGUUCGGUCAUGAAAGUGAAAGGCAAUAAUGAUGAUAUAUGAUGCACUGAUUGAGAUGAGAGAAGCUGGUAUGAACUCGACCUCUCUUGUUUCUGUAAAUAUGAUUAGUUCAUCGUUCCUGAUUCAGCCUAUUAUGAAUAAACAUGUUUGUAAUGACAAUUAGAGAUUAUAGUUGCUUAUGCCAUUCUUAAUUAGCUAGGAGCUUAUAAUGGUUUACCUUGCAUGCCAACAUCCUAUUAAAAUGGUUGUGAUGUGGUAUGAUAGGGUGGUAUCCUCCUUUGAAUGAUUCAAGUGACUUGACUUGGCACAUGUUCAUGCAUGUAGUUGAAACAAAAUCAACAUAGCCUUCACGAUAUUUAUGUUCAUGGUGGAUUAUAUCCUACUCAUACUUGCACUUAGUGUUGAUUAAUUUUAAUGCAUGUUCAUGACUGUUGUCGCUCUCUAAGUUGGUCGCUUCCCAGUCUCUUUCUAGCCUUCACUUGUACUAACAGGAAUACUGCUUGUGCAUCCAAACUCCAUAAACCCCAAAGUUAUUCCUUAUGAGUCCACCAUACCUUCCUAUAUGCGGUAUUUACCUGCUGUUCCAAGUAAAUUUGUAUGUGCCAAACUCCAGACCUUCAAAUGAAAUUCUAUUUUGUAUGCUCGAACAGCUCAUGUAUCAACUAGGGUUGUCUGUAUCUUCCAUGUUAGGCAGGUUAUUCUCAAGAGGAGUGAACUCCGCUCCUCAUUCACGAGAAAAUGGCUGGUCACCGGGAUGCCCAGUCCCAUGCUCAAAUCAAAUCAAAAUAAUUACAAACAAAACUCCCCCAGGAUUGUUGCUAGUUGGAGGCACCCGUUGUUUCGGGCAAGCCAUGGAUUGAUGCUUGUUGGUGGUGGGGGAGUAUAAACUUUACCAUUUUGUUUGGGAACAGCCUAUAAUGUGUGUAGCAUGGAAGAUAUCAAGAUCUCUUAGUCGUUAUGUUGACAAUGAAAGUAUGCCACUCAAAAUGUUAUUCAUCUCUAUUUCAAAAUUGAGCUUUGGCACCUCUACAAAUCCAUGCUUCCCUCUACGAAGGGCCUAUAUAUUUACUUUUAUGUUGAGUCAUCACCCUCUUAUUAAAAAGCACCCGCAAGAGAGCACCGCUGACAUUUGCUUGCAUUACUAUUAGUUUAUAUUGGGCAUGACUAUGACUGGAUCUCUUUUACCAUGAAUUACAAUGUUUAGACAGUCCUUGAUCUUUAAAGGUGCUCUGCAUUUAUGUUUUGCGGUCUCAGAAAGGGCUAGCGAGAUACCAUCUUGUUAUAUCAUAUUAUGAUUGUUUUGAGAAAGUGUUGUCAUCCGAGAUUUAUUAUUAUUGCUCGCUAGUUGAUUAUGCCAUUGAUAUGAGUAAACAUGAGACCUAGGUAUUAUUGUGAAUAUGGUUAGUUCAUAAUCUUUGUUGAAAACUUGAAUGCUGGCUUUACAUAUUUGCAGCAACAAGAGCAAACAGAGUUUGUAGAAGUUUUUCUUUAUCACUUUCAGUUUGUCAACUAAAUUUCUUGAGGACAAGCAAAGGUUUAACCUUGGGGGAGUUGAUACAUCUCCGUCGUAUCUACUUUUCCAAACACUUUUGCCCUUGUUUUGGACUCUAACUUGCAUGAUUUGAAUGGAACUAACCCGGAGUGACGUUGUUUUCAGCAGAACUGCCAUGGUGUUAUUAUUGUGAAGAAAUAAAAGUUCUCGGAAUGACAUGAAAAUCCACGGAGCAACUUUUCAAAAUAAAUAAAAAAUAUUGGCAAAAGAAUCAACAUCAGGGGGCCCACACCCUGUCCACGAGGGUGGAAGGUGCGCCCCCUCCCCUAGGGAACACCCCCUGCCUCAUGGGCCCCCUGGACAUCCACUGACCUCAACUCCAACUCCAUAUAUUUGCUUUCGCGGAGAAAAAAAUCAGAGAGAAAGUUUCAUCGCGUUUUACAAUACGGAGCCACCGCCAACCCCUAAUCUCUCUCGGGAGGGCUGAUCUGGAGUCCGUUCGGGGCUCCGAAGAGGGGGAUUCAUCGUCGUCGUCCUCAUCAACCAUCCUCCAUCGCCAAUUUCAUGAUGCUCACCGUCGUGAGUGAGUAAUUCCAUCGUAGGCUUGCUAGACGGUGAUGGGUUGGAUGAGAUUUACCAUGUAAUCAAGUUAGUUUUGUUAGGGUUUGAUCCCUAGUAUCCACUAUGUUCUGAGAUUGAUGUUGCUAUGACUUUGCUAUGCUUAAUGCUUGUCACUAGGGCCCGAGUGCCAUGAUUUCAAAUCUGAACCUAUUAUGUUUUCAUGAAUAUAUGUGAGUUCUUGAUCCUAUCUUGCAAGUCUAUAGUCACCUAUUGUGUGUUAUGAUCUGACAACCCUGAAGUGACAAUAAUUGGGAUAAUUCUCGGUGAUGACCGUAGUUUAAGGAGUUCAUGUAUUCACUAAGUGCUAAUGCUUUGCUCCGGUACUCUAUUAAAAGGAGGCCUUAAUAUCCCUUAGUUUCCAUUAGGACCCCGCUGCCACGGGAGGGUAGGACAAAAGAUGUCAUGCAAGUUCUUUUCCAUAAGCACGUAUGACUAUAUUCGGAAUACAUGCCUACAUUACAUUGAUGAACUGGAGCUAGUUCUGUGUCACCCUAUGUUAUAGCUAUUACAUGAGGAAUCACAUCUGACAUAAUUAUCCAUCACUAAUCCAAUGCCUACGAGCUUUUCACAUAUUGUGCUUUGCUUAUUUACUUACCGUUGCUACUGUUACCAUUACUACAAAACUGCUACUGUUACUUUUUCUACUGUUACCGUUACUUCCAUACUACUUUGCUACUAAAUACUUUGUUGCAGAUACUAAGUUAUCUAGGUGUGGUUGAAUUGACAACUCAACUGCUAAUACUUAAGAAUAUUCUUUGGCUCCCCUUGUGUCGAAUCAAUAAAUUUGGGUUGAAUACUCUACCCUCGAAAACUGUUGCGAUCCCCUAUACUUGUGGGUUAUCAGUACCUCCUAAGACUAGCAGAUGAUUUGAAAGCCAAAUGUCACUUCCAUUGUUAUUAUCCAUGUUGAUGUCAACGUUGUAAUAUGCAAAAUUUUAGUCUUCCAGAUCAACAUUAUUUUAUGGAUGUAGCAACUGUCAGUGAGUAACAUAAUCUAAUGAAUAGAUUAUCAAUGGCCCACUUGCACCAAUGCAGACUAAAUUUCAAUGAACAAUUAUAAAAUUCAGUUUUGAUAAAGCACAUCCAUGUGUGCUAUAAGUAUUGUACAUCUAAGUUCUAUAUCAUUUAUUUUAUGCUAAGAUUCAUGCAAGCAUUUCUUUUGUCUUUUUUCCUUUUGAUAAAUCAUCAUGAUAAAAUCCAAUACGACAUACACUAGUUAUACAAAACAGAGAUCAUAGGCAUACUUAUCUUCUCUGCAACUAUAAUCUCGCCGUCAUGGUGCAAGGCCUCUCGGCGAGACGGCAUGGCUGCCUGGGAGGCAGUGACCUGGCUAACUUUGGCAGUCCGGCCCUCCCCUGACUUGGGGCUCUAUGGGAGAUGGAUAUCAAGAAGCGAUCUAUUAUCUCCGUCGAUCCACUUGGCCUAGCUGUAUGCUACUACUAUAGUUAGGAAAUCAAUUGGAUGCACAAUUUUCGGCUAGUGGAUAAGAUAGCAAAUCAGGAGCUUCUUUGGCAACACCUCCUAAUUAUUCGCAUGCAAUAACUGAUCCAUCCAUCAAUCGUAGUUGCAAAGGAUCUCAAAUUCAAUCCAGGAAGGAAAUCAGGGGAAAUGAUCUACAUUCAUUUUUCAUGGAUGGAAUACGUAAUACUUCAUCUGUUUAGCAUUUGGGGGGGCCCUUGGCACUAGGGGGGCCGGGGCGGCCGCCCCUCUCGGCCCCCCUCAGGGUCGGGCCUGGUCUUGGUAUGAGUUUGAGCAUGAUGAGCCACUCGGGAGAAGAAGAAAUGAUGAUCUACCAGGUUUUAAGUCCAUAGAUCCGCUCCAAAAAGGAAAACAAAGCAAAAAUCAAAUAAACCAAAAAGAAAAAGAAAAGGGCUGAAAACCAGGCUGUCACAAACCUUCCCCCCUUAAAGAAAUCUCGUCCUCGAUAUUUGGUUGCUCAGGGAACAAGUAUGACUUGAGGACACCGUUUCCAACUCGGGUAUCCAUUUCCUUUGUUUAUUGUUCCCAAAAAUUUCAUAUGAUUUUCUUACCUUGCUCUGGGGUGGUUUGCUUCACCUUUCCCACAUUCUGACAGGUUUUUCCUCAUAUACCAAAGUCUUAUGCUGACGGUGAUAUUUUCAUAUCUGUUGGUGAUAUUCUGAGCAUGACUUUCCUUUGGGGAAAACCCUUUUUCAUAGGCCAUUGGGUUGUCCAAACCAUUGCAUGUGUUUCGGGUACAAACAAUACUCAGAAUCAUGACCACUCUUCUGACGAGGUCUGACUGCCCGAAAGUGGUACUGACUCCUCUUGGUUUGCUUCUCUGGCUUGAGCAGGAGAUAUUUACCAAGGAUCCGACGGUCUUCCGUCAAGGGCUAUAUAACGGAGUAUGGGCUUGUAGAUGUAGCAUACCUCAAACAUUAAUAUCUUGAGACUGUACUGACAGGAUGCUGACGGGAAAAUACUUUUUAUGACAGACUAUCCGUGUACUGCAUUUUGCAAGCGAGUACAUCUGAUUUGAGCUGAUGGUUUGGCUGUUGGCUUACCCAUGUUGUCGGUAUACUCAUUUGUGGCAAUAGACUGCAGGGUGUUUUGACACGGUUGUCGACAUCAAACUGCGGAGGAACUCUUGGGUCUAACAGAAUAGGCUGGAAUAUUCAACAUUAAUCACUUUAACCGGGUCAGUGGAAUAUGAAGUCCUUGAAGAAUAGAGUAGGUCUAUGAAGGUGUGCCUUUGUGGAUCCAUAUGGAAUAUUGGCAUCCAACUGUCUUGGGUAUCCGGUCCUUGAUGCCCGCAAAAAUCAGCAUACCUUUGCUUCCAGUCUCUUGUUCUGUCGAUGAUUUUCUUUGUCAGGGUAUCUUACUGAAAUAUCUUGGCCACCUAUGUCUUUGAUUCUUCGUGCAUCCAUUAAUUUGGCUAGUGCAAUAUUUUUGGCACCAUUGCUUGUGCUCGUUUUUCUGACCUGGUUCCGCACACAUAUGACAUACUCGGAGCUUGUGGCUGUACAGAGCUCAUUGUUGAGGCCAACCAUAAAAGAGGGUGACAAGGUUUCACGAGACUCCUUGUCAGGUGCGGGAAUAAUGACCUUGUGAUCAUUGUCAAGACUGUUGACUUUGCAUUGUCAGCUCCAGAAAUUGUCGAUCCUUUCAUUAUACGAGGGUGCACAAAUCUGGGUGGGUAUGCGUUGGCCAACCACUCCAUGUCCAACCACGAUGCACAACGUGCGCACGACGCGGUCAGCGUGUGAGACAGGCGACGCUUCAGGAUUCGUUCAAGUGAGAAAAUCGAACCUAGCCAAUGAAAGAUCUUGCUGAGCCCACUAGUCAUCUGAAGCCACGAAAGAACCUGGGUCAAAAAAGAUCGUAAAAAUCAAAUGGUCGAUGCAGUCAUGCUGACCAGACCAAAACUGAUCGAAUGACCAAAAUGGAGCGAGCAAUCGGGAGGGCGGGUCGCCCACCCUCCUUAUAUGUUAGAAUGAGUUGUAUUUCUGCUCAUCUUCAUUUGGCAUGACUCCUAAGUUUUGUUGAAUCCUUACCUUCCUUAGGUAAUUCCGAUUGAUCACAGUUGUAUUCUUGAAUGAGUGACUUGCAUGUCCAGGGAUACAUUCUCACCAUAUAUGUGGAAAUAUAUGUAGUCGAACACUUGAUUUCUGAAGAAGGCAUGUGCCUUGAUUGAUUUGUACUUCUGACAAAAAUAUUGUUGAUCUGAUUCUUGAGAUGCACUGCCAUAUGCUACCAUCUCACCGUAUAAUCUCUGAGGAUGGUGCAAUAGUGUGGUACUAGCGCGGACUGGGUGGCUUACGAGAGAAGCCAUCCGAGUAGCUUGCUGAAGAAGACUCGGUAGCUUCUGCUCGAAGCUUUUGCGGGGGUAGCGUGCAGAAGAAACCGCAAUAGCUUACAUGCGAAGCUUGUCCUGGGUAUCAUGUUGAAGAAACCUCGAUAGCUUACAUACGAAGAUUAACCAGUGUAUUGUGCUGGAGAAGCUCGGGUUCUGUACUUGCGAAGCUUCUCCUCUUGUUUCCUAUUGAGAAAGAUUCAGUUCCUUAUGUCACAAGCUUUUACCAGGGUACCUUGCAUUGGAGGACUGGGUAUCUUGGACCGGAAUAUGUCCAUAUAUCAUACUGAAAAAUUUUGAGGGGCCUUGCAUCAUAAGCUUCUUCUGAUAGCGUGUGGAGGAAAUCUAAGCUUCUUAUAUCAAAAACUUCUCACAGUGAUGUGUGGAUUGGAUACCAUACAUAUGUCCUUAAUAUCUGUGUGUCUGGUUACUUGCCUUGUAAAAUUAUUUGACUGACUUCCUAGGUCAAAGCACAUUUUGGCUUUCUUUCCAAAGUAGAGCAUGUUUCCCAAGUUCAUUCAUAGCUGAAGCAGACAUUGUAUAUGAAUCAUACCUUGUACCAAAAAUGUACCAUUGGUCUUGUGCUUGCCUUAUCUUUCUGCUGGUUUGAUCGUUAUUGCUGCAAAAGGGGCAUAACAAAUGCGGAUUUGCUCUUGAUUUUCGAUUAGUGAAACCAUUUAUAUACCAAGCAGAUAUUCCCAACAUGAUGCAGUCAACUUAGAAUCCCAUACUAUUUAUUUGAGCUUCCAUAUAUUUUCUAUCCUUGCUGCUUCUUUGAGUUCAACGCCGGUUGAUGAGCACGCUUUAGAGGAGAAAAUAAUGUAACACCGGGGCCCAAAAAGAAGCAGACAAAACAACUCAACCAAACCAAGGAAUAAAAAGGCAUACAGAUCACACACAAACAAUAUCACAUAUAUGUGAUGACCCACAAGUAUAGGGGAUCUAUCAUAGUCCUUUCGAUAAGUAAGAGUGUCAAACCCAACGAGGAGCAGAAGGAAAGGACAAGCGGUUUUCACCAAGGUAUUCUCUACAUGCACUGAAAUUAUUGGUAACGGAUAGUUUUGUGAUAAGAUAAUUCAUAACGGGUAACAAGUAACAAAGGUAACUAAGGUGCAGCAAGGUGGCCCAAUCCUUUUUCUAGCAAAGGACAAGCCUGGACGAACUCUUAUAAAGAAACGCGCUCCCGAGGACACAUGGGAAUCAUUGUCAAGCUAGUUUUCAUCAUGCUCAUAUGAUUCUCGUUCGUUACUUUGAUAAUUUGAUAUGUGGGUGGACCGGUGCUUGGGUGUUGUCCUUACUUGGACAAGCCUCCCACUUACGAUUAACCCCUCUCGCAAGCAUCCGCAACUACAAAAUAAGAAUUAAGGUAAACCUAACCAUAGCAUGAAACAUAUGGAUCCAAAUCAGCCCAUUAUGAAGAAAUGCAUAAACUAGGGUUUAAGCUUCUGUCACUCUAGCAACCCAUCAUCUACUUAUUAUUUCCCAAUGCCUUCCCCUAGGCCCAAAUCAUGGUGAAGUGUCAUGUAGUUAGCGUUCACAUAACACCACUAGAGGAGAGACAACAAUCAUCUCAUCAAAAUAUCGAACGAAUACCAAAUUCACAUGAUUACUUAUAACAAGACUUCUCCCAUGUCCUCAGGAACAAACAUAACUACUCACAAAGCAUAUUCAUGUUCAUAAUCAGAGGGGUAUUGAAUAGCAUUAAGGAUCUGAACAUAUUAUCUUCCACCGAAUAAACCAACUAGCAUCAACUACAAGGAGUAAUCAACACUACUAGCAACCCAUAGGUACCAAUCUGAGGUUUUGAGACAAAGAUCGGAUACAAGAGAUGAACUAGGGUUUGAGAGGAGAUGGUGCUGGUGAAUAUGUUGAUGGAGAUUGACCCCUGUCGAUGAGAGGAUCGAUGGUGAUGACGAUGGCAUUGAUUUUCCCCUCCCGGAGGGAUUUUCCCGGCAGAACAGCUCCAUCGGAGCCCUAGAUCGGUCCUGCCCAGGUUCUGCCUCGAGAUGGCGGUGCUUCGUUCUCAAAGCUUCUCUCUGAUUUUUUUUCAGGGUAAAAGACACCAUAUAGCAGAAGAUGGGAGUCGGGGGCCUGCCAGGGGGCCCACGAGGUAGAGGGUGCGCCCUCAACCCUCGUGGCUGACUGGUGGCCCCCCUCUGGUGCUUUCUUCGCCCAAUAUUUUUAAUAUAUUCCAAAAGUAAUCUCUGUGAAGUUUCAGGACGUUUGGAGUUGUGCAAAAUAGGUCUCUAAUAUUUUCUCCUUUUCCAGUCCAGAAUUCUAGCUGUCGGCAUUCUCCCUCUUUAUGUAAACCUUAUAAAAUAAGAGAGAAAAGGUAUAAGUAUUGUGACAUAACGUGUAAUAACAGCCCAUAAUGCAAUAAAUAUUGAUAUAAAAACAUGAUGCAAAAUGGACGUAUCAACUCCCCCAAGCUUAGACCUCGCUUGUCCUCAAGCGGAAGCCGAUAUCAAAAAAAAUAUCCACGUGUUUAGAGAUAGAGGUGUCAAUAAAAUAAAAUACGGACAUGAGGGCAUCAUGUUCAUCUUUAGAACAGCAACAUAUAUUGUCAUAUGAUUUCUUAUGCUAAAGUAACAAUCCAUUCACAAGGUAAAGUAUGAAUCAGAAACUUCAUUGAAAACUAACAAACUAUGAUCCCAGUCACUAAGGCAAUUGCAAUUUACCAUAACAUCAGAAAGAGUCAAUAUAAGAGCUUUUCAGCAAGUCCAUACUCAAUUAUCAUUUAGUCUUUCACAAUUGCUAACACUCACGUGAUACUUAUGGGUACAAAGUUUCAAUCAGACACAGAGAAAGAUAGGGGCUUAUAGUUUCGCCUCCCAACCUUUUACCUCAAGGGUAAUGUCAACAAUAAUACUUUAUGAAAACCUACAUCUGAGUGGAUAUAUAUAUUCGGAUCUCUCCAACACAUAGUGCUCGCCAAAGGAUAAAGUGCAAAAAGGAAAGGUGAAGAUCACCAUCACUCUUGUAUGAAGGUAGAACGUAAAAAUAAAAGAUAGGCCCUUCGCAGAGGGAAUCAGAGGUUGGCAUGCACUUUUAUGGUUGGAUGCACAAAAUCUUAAUGCAGAAGAACAUCACUUUCUAUUGCCACUUGUGAUAGGAACCUUUAUUAUGCAGUCUGUCGCUUUUAUUUCUUCCAUAUCACAAGCUCAUAUAAAGCUUAUUUUCUUCCACUAAUAGAUCAUACAUAUUUAGAGAGCAAUUCUUAUUGCUUGCACCGAUGACAACUUCCUUGAAGGAUCUUACUCAAUCCAUAGGUAGGUAUGGUGGACUCUCAAGGCAAAACUGGGUUUAGGGAUGUUUGGAAGCACAAGUAGUAUCUCUACUUGGUGCAAAGAAUUUAGCUAGCAUGAGGGGGAAAGGCAAGCUCAAUAUGUUGGAUGAUCCAUGACAAUAUAAUUUCUUCGGAUAUAAGAAAACAUAACCCAUUACCUUGUCUUCCUUUUCCAACAUCAACUUUUUAGCAUGUCAUAUUUUAAUGAGUGCUCACAGUCAUAAAGAUGUCCAAGAUAGUAUAUUUAUAUGUGGAAACCUCGCUUUCUUUAUUACUUCCUAUUAAUUGCAACGAUCACCAAAACUAUGUUUGUCAACUCUCAACAACUUUUAUUCAUCAGACCCUUUAUAUGUGAAGCCAUUACUCUCCAUAAGGUCAAUAUGAUAUUUUUAUGUCUUUUUAUUCUUUCUUUUAUUCCCUCAAGAUCAUAGCAAGAUAGCAAAGCUCUCAACUCAAAACUAAUCUUUAUUAUAUAUAUAACUCAAGGACUCGAUUACAUAGAUAGAGAUCAAAACAAAACUUAAAGCUAGAUCAUACUAAAACUUUAUUCUACUAGAUCAAGAUAUAACCAAAAGGAUCGAACUAAGAAAAGAUAAAGAUAGAAGUGUGAUGGUGAUACGAUACCGGGGCACCUCCCCCAAGCUUGGCAGUUGCCAAGGGGAGUGCCCAUACCCAUGUAUUUAUGUCUAUUUCUUGGAAGGUGGUGAUGAUGGAGUUGUUGAUGAUGUAGGCUUGUCGUCCGUCUUCCAAGGCAUAGGCUCACCAUCAUAGAAGGAUGAACGAGUCUCCGGGAUCCUCAAAUCUGCAGCCAAACUCAUCCUCUUGAAUCUAUAUUCAUACUCAUAGUUUUGGUUUUGCAGGUCAUGGAUCUGGGCGUGGAGGUGCUCGAUUUUAUCAUGAAGCUUGAAGAUGGCCUCCCCGUUGUUCU